rnacentral:lncRNA from 1 species
AACCUUUGGAACAAUAUGACUAUACCACUUUAUAUAUGAGUUUUGGAGUCACUAGAUUACUAUAAUGCUUAGCCAUGCUUAGAAUGGUCUUCCUUGUCAUUAUGGGCUCAUUACAAACAUGAAAAUUGAUUUUUAAAUAAUCUGGACAGAACUUUAAUACUUGUGAUUUUGAUAAAUAAAAUGAUGGAAAACAUGGAUUUUAGGUUUGGGCCUCAAGUGGUGCACAUAUGGUGAUUAGUUGAGUACCGAUAGGGGGAGAGUGUGCCCAAACCGACCUAAGGGCUUCACUCAAUGUCAGUUCAUUUCGUAUACAGUACAACCACAUGUGCUAGUAUGGGAUAGCCCAAGCUUAGUAAAUUAUUUAUGGUUCAGCCUUACAUUCUAGUAGGCCGGUGUGUAUGAGUUCGGAUAACUCAGAGAAACUUCCUAUUUACCCCGACGUGGUAGUUUAGGUGACUAAGUCUAUCCAAUACAACCAUAUUGUGCCACGUGGGUGGGUUCCCGUUAUGUCCGCCACCACGGUGUUAAGUUUAAGAUGUGGGCCCACCACUUAACGGUUCUAGGUCAUAUAACGUGUAUGGCUUAGGAUGGAGUAACACGUAUCGUGUUGGUGUAAGGCUAAAUCAUGAAUUUUGGAAAAGCUUUGUUGUGAGUAAUAAAUCGGAUACUUAUGAAUCGCGUGCCAUGCUCUUGCAUGAUUAUUAUUUCGCAUCAUGUGGGUAAAGUGUACAAACUCUGCAGAGUAAAAACUAAUCGAUUAGCCGUGCUCGCGGUCAUGAACAGCGUGUGGAUAUGUAUUGAGUAUAGACUUGUGUUUAUUCUUCUAAAUGUUGAAUUUACCUUCAAAUUAUGUUGAGAUUUCAGAAUGAUCUCCUUGCUGCCAUGGAUGGCAAUGAGGUGCAUAUUUAUACAUGAUUAAUGCCUACUUUGAUGCCCAUAUGUUAAGUACUAGCUUGCUGAAAUUUAUUUGAAAGAAAAUCUGAUUUGAAUGUGUUUUAUGCAAAUAAAACUUGCUUUAUGCUAAAAAGAACCAUCCUUGAUUAUAUGCCUUGCAAGUAGGGUGUUAGGUUUGUCUUGGUACUUGCCAGUGCAUUAUUUCUAAUAAUGUACUGACUCUUGCCAUUGAAUUAACCUUUUGCUUGCAGGUUUUAGAUUUAAUAUUUGAGUGAUGCGGGUAAUCGACUGCUUCUUCUAGGAUUUGAACUUAAUGGGGUAAACCCCUAGUCGGUGUGUUUAUGGAUUGGGUAGAUAAGCUUCCGCUGUUCUAUAUAUUUAUUUGGUCGGUCGGCCUAUGUAUCUCUAAGUUAGAUGUAAUUUUAAUCGCUUUCAUCUUAUUUGUGUUUGCUAUGUAUGUCCAUGCUUAAGAUGAAAGUGUGAAUCUAGUGCACAUCCUCAGAACUAGAUUCACAUGAGUAUGAGUUCAGAAUAUUUGAGAUGUUGUAGAUAUUUAGCCAUUUUUAUCAAGUCUCCUGAAUGUGUAACACAUCUUGUCACCGCCUUCGAGUGGUUUGACGGGCACAUCUCAGACUGAAGUUGACUCAGACUGAAGUUCACUGGCAGGCUAAAGGCCCAGCAAUGUCUCCAAUAUUCCUCUCUCGAGGCGUCGGCUACUUCAUUAUGCUUGUUUAAUGACUUGAAUUAUUCACUUCAUCUCUUAAUUAUAAUGGAAGGUCUGGAGAGCCUACGACACCAACACAAGUCGUCGGAUAUUGACAUCAAAGAUUAGCCUAGCCAUACCCCAUUUGGUGCCUACGGAAGCCGACAAGAGGGAUCUAGCGCCAUCUCUGAUCUCGUCGAGUAUAGAUUCAAUAAGGAAGACUACCCUAUCGUCGACUACGAGUUGGUGAUCUAUCCGUCAAGUCGACGACAGCUAGAUAUAUUAUCCUAAAUAUUGUAUCUGUGUGAUCCAGAUGAAUAAAGAGCAACACCGGCUUCGGCCAACAGGAUGUAGGGCUAUUACCUGUAAGAUAAGGGCCCGAACCUGUAUAAAAAUCCCUGUCUCCAUCUCUUUUACCUCAAUCUCGCAUAUACCCUGGUACCAACGAUCCCUAUACCAUCUAAAUACCGUAAUCGCGAUAUCAAAUGUCGACAGUGGCGCGCCAGGUAGGUGGAGUGAUCCCUAUACCAUCUAAAUACCGUAGUCGCGAUAUCAAACAUCGAUAGUGGCGCGCCAGGUAGGGGGAGUUUGGUGCUUCAAGGUUUCGAUGAAAUUGGUUCAAGAGAUGGAUUCUCUAACACCAAACUACUCGACAACUUCGGUUAUGGGGGACUGGGGAGAUCUAAUCCGACCGAAGUAUGUCUUCCGACGAGAUCGGAACCAUCGUCGCCGCAGCUGAAGACAUCUGUUCAGUAUUAUCGACCAUCGGUGAUCUCGAGGAUGUUGCUGACACCAUGGGAGACCGGAAUUGACUACUACACUGAUCGAUUUCCUGGCUAACGCGUGCUUUGGUCGGACACAAUAACAGGCCGGACGGAUAGGUGAAUGACAGGUGCCUGUCACUCCACGUGAUAGGAAACCAUGUGUUAAUCUACUCAGGCCGGAUAUAUUGCUGCCCAAAAUCACCACGGCGUAAUCUACUGAACAACAAGACAACGAGUCAACGUGCUUACUCCUGACAUGUACACGUGCAUAUGCAUGGACUCAGUACGUGCCCAGGCGUGCACGUGUACCUGCAGAGAAGACCAAUAUGGCUGCCUAAAGUGCAAUGCGUUGACUAUUCAGAUAAAUCACAUCUAUCCACGAUCAGAUCAUAUAAUAUUGAGACCAAUAAUUUAUUAUAUUUACCUAGAGCAUGUUUUUUAUACAUAUCUAUUGUGCGAAUGUUUCCGAUGAUUGGCCAACUACGGUUUAAUGCUGGGGCUCGCUCUAUUUUCUUUAGUAUAAAUCAUACUUGUUUACGGUUUACGUAAUACCUAAUAUUUAAUCUGCUCGUUAUAUCCUAAUAAUACUAGAAGAGUCAUGCAGUUUUUUUGAGUACAUACUCGAUAUUCUCUGUUAUAUAUCUUGUCUUCUAGAAAAUAUUUUUCAGAAACAAUUGAGCACUCGAGUAGGUUGUGGUCGAGUACACCCCAUUGUCGAGAACUUUCUCGAUAAAGGCUAAGUCGUCGUACCCAACCUACCAACGAAGACUGACGACUUAUCUCAUGUAUAGCGCCGGCCACGCCCGGACUAUUGGAGAAUAUGUCGUUAACGGAUAAUCCCUCACAAAUAACGUCGGUUUGAUCACCCGACAUGAUUGCAAAUAGACAUCCGGAUAUGCUAUAUGUUGGGUAUGUGAGUCAUGCUGGCCACAUGAGAUGCAUGUAAUCACCAACUCUAGCGCCCCUCCAGGUGAUCGAGAUAUGCCUACACUUAGUUCUCGACUAGUCGAUCGUAGCGAUCUCUUACCACCUAAAAAUUCAUAGGUGAUCGAGAUACGCUUACACCUGGUUCUUGACCAGUAGAUCGUAGCGACCUCUCACCACCUAAAAAUUCAUAGGUGAUCGACAUAUGCCUACACCUGGUUCUCGACCGGUAGAUCGUAGCGAUCUCUCACCACCUAAAACUCCAAGUGAUCGAGAUACGCCUACACCUGGUUCUCGACCGGUAGAUCGUAGCGAUCUCUCACCACCUAAAACUCCUGGUGAUCGAGAUAUGCCUACACCUGGUUCUCGACCAGUAGAUCGUAGUGAUCUCUCACCACCUAAAAAUUCAUCUCCAGGUGAUCGAGAUACGCCUACACCUGGUUAUCGACCGGUAGAUCGUAGCGAUCUCUCACCACCUAAAACUCCAGGUGAUCGAGAUAUGCCUACACUUGGUUCUCGACCGGUAGAUUGUAGCGAUCUCUCACCACCUGAAAAUUUGUCUCCAGGUGAUCGAGAUACGCCUACACCUGGUCCUCGACCAGUAGAUUGUAGCGAUCUCUCACCACCUAAAAAUUCGUCUUCGGGUGAACGAGAUAUGCCUACACCUGGUUCUCGACCAGUAGAUCGUAGCAAUCUCUCACCACCUAAAACUUCGUCUUCGGGUGACCGAGAUACGCUUACACCUGGUUCUCGACCAGUAGAUCGUAGCGAUCUCUCACCACCUAAAAUCUCGUCUUAAGGUGAUCGAGAUAUGCAUACACCUGGUUCUCGACCAGUAGAUCGUAGCGAUUUCUCACCACCUGAAAAUUCGUCUUUAGGUGAUCGAGAUACGCCUUCGCCUGGUCCUUGGCCAGUAGAUCGUAGCGAUCUCUCACCACCUAAAAAUUCAUAUUCAGGUGAUCAAGAUACGCCUACUCCUGGUCCUCGACUAAUCGGUUAGCAAGCUCUCGACAUCUAACGGGACAAUCAGCAUUGUCGUGAUAACGACAACCAAGACUGACUAGAUCGCCGUUGUCACUAGGACGACAAUGUCGAGGACUAAUGACAUCAGGACGACAACGGACACGGUUAACUACAUCACACGACGACGACGAAACUCGAGAUCCCCAGACUUCUAGAGGGUCCGAGGAUGAGGUAGUAGGUACAGGAGCCGAACCUCCGACUACGAUAAUUCCUCAUUGUCUUCGUCUUCAUCAGGAGGUUGUUCUCGCAAGUCACGGGAAUGUCGUCCAUACAUUACUCUGAUUCCCUUCAAAUGGUCGAGGUACGACUACGACUAGUCUUUAAUCGGCAACGUAGCGGUCCUCGAACCACGACUUCUGAUGGUCGAGGUACGACUACGACUAGUCUUUGACCGGCAAUGUAGAGGUCCUCGCACCACGACUUCUGGUGGUCAAGGUACGAUUACGACUAGUCUUUGACCAGCAACGUUGCGGUCCUCCCACCAUGACUUCUUAUGGUCGAGGUACGACUACGACUAGUCUUCGAUCGGCAACGUAGCGGUCCUCGCACCACGACUUCUGAUGGUCGAUGUACGACUACGACUGGUCUUCGAUCGGCAGCGUAGCGGUCCUCGUACCACGACUUCCAAAGGUCGAGUUACGACUAUAACUGGUCCUCGACCAGUAGCGUAGUAGUCCUCGCACCUCAAUUUCAAACGGUUGAGAGACUCCUACUCCUGGUUCUUGAACCAGUAGGUCGUAGUGGUCGAGAUAUGACUACAACUGGUUUUCUGCCAACGAUGUAGCGAUUCUCCCACUACCUAUGCGAUUUAUUGGGUACAACUAUACGCCUGGGCUUUGCCUAGUGUGGUGGUUAUCUCAUCAUCUACGUCAUCUUCUGUAAGUGUUUAUAUGUGCAAUAUUUGUCCAGAGAUCCCUAACCACGAUAACACCUACUCUUGACAUCGAAAUUAUUGUCCCUUUACGCCAGUCUGACAAGCCUCCGAGAAACCUAAGGGAAUUUCGGCUGGGGACACCCAGAGCAGAUAAGCUCUUGUCAGAUCCUAAAGAGCCAAACGACCAUGUAAAACCUGGUCAUGUAAGAGUGCUCCAUAAUGCGUAUUAACCAAGCCGUGUAAUUGGAAAUUGGUUUUUCCAACUUCACGGCUGGGGGCUAGGUAAUUGCAUUUUCAGCUAGGCAAGUUACGUGUCAUUGGGCCUUCCCCUCCGAGAACAGACUUCCCCGAGGAUAGGGCUAGGGGCUAGGAGGAGUACCAAACUCCGUUUGCUGAGGGCAACUCUAGCCAGCAUACUCUUUUAUUGUUACACGUAGAUUCAAUUGAUUUUCAAUUUUUCCAUACAUAUUAGAACAUGUUACCCUUGAGCGUUCGCUUGAGGGCUAUCUCUAUUUAAUAUUUUGUUUUGAGAAUUGAUUUCAAGAUAAUUCCAUUCAACGCUGUUGAGGACUCCAUGUCUCUACGGUCUUACAGCGGGAUCGAUUAAGCGAGUACGACGAAUGUUGAUUAGGGAAGUCAGACAUCAGAAUAGUCAAGUCAGAUUUCAAGGCUUUGUCGCAGACUUUGCACCUUCUCGAUUAUCCGAGAACGACUACUGGAGUUCGACAAGGAAUAUGGAAUGAAGCAAAGGUGUACUCGCCGAGAUGGAAUUUCUUGACUUCAAUCCAAAUUCUCGAUUACAGCACGACGGGAGACUUAGUCGCAUGUUCCGUAUCUUCUCGGACGACAUCAGAGAUUAACCUAGACAAAACCAAUAUAGUGCCUACAAAGGCCAAUAAGAGGAAUCUAGCACUAUCUCUGAUCUCACCGAGAACGGUCAAGCGAGCAUGACAACAGUUAUUCCAAAGUCUUCGGUUGAGAACAUGAACUCGUUCAUUUGCAUUGAAGUCGGGGCUACUGUCAGGGUUAUGGAUACCACAUACCCAAUAGUAAUCGACUAAGCUCGGCAAGGCCCACCACAUACCAUGUCUUAUACGGAAACAAACCUCGUAUAUAGAAGGAGUUCGGGAUAAGGAAGGACAAGAAGAGUUCUACAUGAAAACGACAAGGACUACUCAGAUCAUAUCCAUAUUUAUCUCCCUAUACUUACUUGGACAAGGGGUUAUCUAUGGGUAUAAAUACAAACCCCCUAGGAGGAGAGGGGAUAGGCCACAAAGCCACAAAGCCACAAAGCCACAAGCCAACACACGUCGCCGGAUAUCGACAUCAAAGAUUAGCCUAGCCAUACCCCAUCCGGUGCCUACGGAAGCUGGCAAGAGGGAUCUAGCGCCAUCUCUGAUCCCGCCGAGUACAAAUUCGAGGAGAUAGACUACCCUAUCGUCGACUACGACUUGGUUAUCUAUCCGUCAAGUCGACGACAGCCAGAUAUGUUAUCCCAAAUAUUGUAUUUGUGUGAUCCAGAUGAAUAAAGAGCAACAUCGGCUUCGGCCAACAGGAUGUAGGGCUAUUACCUGUAAGAUAAGAGGCUCGAACCUGUAUAAAAAUCCCUGUCUCCAUCUCUUUUACCUCAAUCUCGCAUAUAGCCUGGUACCAACAAUCCCCAUACCAUCUAAAUACGUAGUCGCGAUAUCAAACGUCGACACCAGUGUAGGUCAACCUUAUUAUUGCAAGCAAAUCGAGAAACAAGUAAGAACAAGAUCAAAGUAAUCCGAUAUUGCAAAUAGGAAUUGAAUACACAAGAUAAGUUGGGUUCCAAAGACAUGCAGACAGACAGUUUAGUACGCGCGCUACAAGCAAGUAGCAAUGGCUAAACUUCAAUCUAAACAAAACCCAAGAAAACCUUAACGGGUACCUAGUUAUUCAAGAAGGUGGAAGGACGACCUUGGUGUCCCUAGGGUUGUGCUCCACCUGGUUGGGGUGCACCCCACAUGGGCCCUACUUGGGCCGGGGUCCCAGACAAAGUUACAAACCCAUAGGCCUAUUAUAGGUGAUGCGUCACCUUGUUCCUAUGAUUCCGGCCAAACGAGACGGAAUUCAAAGAUGAGGCUGAAUCCGUUGGAAAGCGGACUCCGAAAGCUUUCCACUAAGUACUAAUGGACCCAAAACGAAGGUCGUAUGCACAUCUGGCAGUCGUUUGAAAUCAACAUUGUUGCAGGCAGUUGAAUUGGAUUCCAGAACUUGUUUAAUUUGUUCUUGAUGUGAGCAGCGGUUGUCUCAAUAGCAUCCAUGGUCACAUCUUAAGCACGAGGGGUGGAUGCCCUACAGCUAACCCUAAUCAUAUUUAUUCAAUAACUAUCAUUAUUUAGAGUGCGGUUUUGCUUAGAUUAUUCUGCUGUUGCAGUUUCGCCGCUUAGUUCGGUUUGUGGAACCCCAAUUUGUGAGCUUCAUUGUAUAUAUGCAAUAUAUUUAUAUUAUUUCUUCUUCUCUCUUGUUUUUGUUCUCGAUUCAUUUGUAGGAGAUAGCUUUAUCGGUGAGGUCGACCGCGCUUUGGCACAGUUGAUAACCAACGAAGGGGUGGGGUUGUGAUUGUGAGUGGUUCGGUCAUCUUGGUUCAGUCUCCACAAUGGACUUAUCAGUACAUAAUGGACGAUCGGGACUUCAGUCCUCAUCACAUUUCUUUUGCGAUUCUUUUAGUGAGCGAAAUUAAUUUUGACCAUUGUUGUAAAAGAGUUGCAGCAAAUGUUACGUAUGCAAAUUGACAGAAGAACUCAAAGUUAAUAGAUGACUUUGUUUUUUUUUAUCUGUAUUCUAUUUGUCUAUGGAUGGGCAUUCGGUCAGACUGAAAAUUUUGGUCCUGGUCUUCAGUCUUCCUCUCAGUUCAGUCAUUAAAAAGUGAGGACCGAAUUUUAAUUGAAAAAUAUCAGGAUCGGUAAAUUCGGUCUCGGUCCAAACCGAGAUUAAACAAAAAGUUAAACACUACAUCCGUUUUUUACUAUAUGACGCCAUUGACUUUUCAAAAUACAUUUAACCAUUCAUUAUAUUUAUUUUAUCAUCAAAUGUUGUUUUAAGCAUGACUUCAAAUUUUUUAUAUUUGCGCAAAAAAAAUUGAAUAAGACGAAUAGUUAAACGUUUAACAAAAAGUUAGCGGUGCCAUAUUAUAAAAAACGGAGGUAGUAUAUGCAAAGAAAUCAUAAAAAAAUUUUAACACAAAAAUCACACAAAAAGAAUUCGCAAGCACGUCUUAGUAAAGACUUUUAUUGGGUUUUAUGGCUAAAAGGAGUAGGAUGUGAAUAUUAGGUUUUAAUUCUAUUAAACUUAGUGGAUUGUUGGUUGCAUUUGAAUUUUUUUUAAUUAGAUCUUUUCGGUUAACCGAGAAGACUAACCGAAUUGACGAACAAAAUGCCCGACCAAAUUUAUCGAUCUUGUCUUUUCAGUUUCGGUGGUCUUGGUCUUUUCGAUUCGUUCAUUUUUCAAUCCACCCUUACAUUUGUCAACGUUGUCCCUUUAUUUAAAAGUAUAAUCCUUGUGCAUAUAUACUCCGUACAAACCACACAUUAUAUUACAAUAGUAUAUUACGUAUACUUAUCACACCGACACGCAUAUAUAUCAUCAGCAUAUCAGACCUUUAGCCCGCUGGCACUGCCCGGUCUACUGCAAUUUAAUCUCGCUCGAUAUUUCCAAAGGGAUCGCGUAGACUGGCUCAGCGUGGACGAGGUGGUACAUCGGCUUCUCUUGACAAACCGGCGGCUGUUCGAUCACGUUCACCUUGCCACGGCGCACCGCUACGCUGCCGCAGCCCGACACGGACGCGGCGCGGCAUCGAUCCACGCGGACGGCGCCGCACCGACUCACGUCCGCCGACCCGCACCGCUCGAUGCCGAUCGCGCCGCACCAGUCGGCGCGCGCGGCGCGACACCGGCCUACCGCGACGUCCGCGCACCCGCCCACGUUGGCCUCGUGGCACCGCCCGACGUGAAGUUCCCCCGCGCCGCGCACGCGCGCGGCGCCCUUGCACCGGCGGAUGGCCACCACGCCGGCGCGCUCCACGUCCGCGGACCUGCAUCGGCGCACGGCCACCUCCCGCGCCCCGUCCGCCCGCACGGCGUCGCACCGAUGGAACGACGCGACCCCGCAGGCCUCCGCGGCCGCGAAGCCGCACCGGGUGAAGCUCACGUCACCACUGCCCCCGCCGCGCACCAGGACGUGCUGGAGACGGUCGACCGCGAGGACACCCGUGCUGACCAAAGUGACCGUGCCGCCGUUCCACUGGAUCACACCCUCGUGGAGGGCUGUCUCCACGCCGUCGAUGAAGAUGGUGAACUGCUGGUCCUCCUUGACGGUCGUGGCGGCGGAGGGAGGAUUUCUCAAGUCUAGUGCCACCAUUUUUAUGCAGAUAUCUUCUGAUGAUUGCUUGUAUUAUUUGUGUUGAUGAUUCCUGGAUAGAUGGCCAAAGUCUUUUAAAGGACCGCGUUGCUUAAGAGCUAAGGUAUUAGCAAGAAGUUGAUGUGAAAUGAAGGACUUUCUUCAAUUCGUGAUUGUGAUGGCUUGUUUUCUCCGAGUAUUCAUGACAACAACAACUACUGCCCAUCCGUUUGUGAAUUAAAUACGGUUGAAUGCGACGUGGAGUAUAUGUUGCUACCCAUCCUAAAAAAGAGAGAGUGUAGUUUUGUACUGUUCAUGUUCAACGUUUGACCGUCCGUUUUAUUUGAAAAAUUUUUAUGAUUAGUAUUUUUAUUGUUGUUAGAUGAUAAAAUAUAAAUAGUAUUUUAUGUGUGACUAAUUAUUUUUAAUUUUUUUAUAAAAUUUUCAAAUAAGACAGACGAUCAAACAUUGGACGCGGAAACUUAGCAAUGCACUUAAAUUGAGACGGAGGUAGUACUUGGUUCCACAAGAGAAACACGAGAGGAUUUAGGCCUGGUUUAUUUUCUAACUUUUUCUUCAGACUUCCAACUUUUCUAUUACAUCAAAACUUUUCUACACACAUAACUUUCAACUUUUCCGUCACAUUGUUUCAAUUUCAAUUAAACUUCUAAUUUUAGCGUGAACUAAACACACCCUUAGAACUUUAGGAUUUGCUUCGCGAUUCGUUCUUCUCUAGCUCCAGUGACAUCUUCUUCUCCUGCUCCAAUGACCCCUACAAAGAGUUGGAGUUAGAGUUUAGAAUCCUGGGUUCGAGUUGGAGUUAGAGUUUAUAAUCCUAGGUUCAAUCACUGAAGUAUGGUUGAGUGAGAUGAUCGCAGGGAGAGGGGGAGAUCACCAGGCAAAGAGUAAUAGACAUAGGAGGUGCAUGUCACACCCUAAAAAUUGCUAAAUUAUAAAUUGUUGUGAGAAAGGAAAUUUUACAAAUUAUGUAAUAAUUAAAGUAAGUGUUUGAAUAAAAUCUAUGAAAUAUUUGAGCAUCAAAUUGGGCUAGAUAAAAUUCUUAUAAAUACUAUGAGUUUCCAAGUAUUUUCUGGAUUUUUCCCGGAAUAAAAAAUCAUUUCAGCAUUUACUUAUAAAUUAAAAAGUAAAGAAAAUCCUCUUCUCCUUCCUCUCUCUCCCGCCGGCCCAAUCCGAGCCUGCAGCCCUCUCCAUCUCUCGGCCAAAGUCCAAUUGGCCUCCCUCUUUCAUCCGGUCCAAGAAAGAAAGAAAAGUUUAAACUCAUUCCCUCCUGCUACAGUGUCGUUUUCCAGCUUGGACAGAGCCCGUGCAGUGCCCGUGUACUCUAGCCGACGCCGCGUCCUCCGUCAAAUCCAGCCUCCCCAUUACUCUUUUUCACAAGUUGGUUGCGAGAAUGGAAUCGUCUUGAUCUGCUGUACCUUAUCCCCAAGAAACCACCUUGAUUCCCGAAUAAAAUUGCGUGGAUUCUACACGAUUUCGAGCAUCGUUUAUCCGGUGAACCAUAGCUUUUCCAUCAUUGAUUCCUCUCAAACCCGAUCCGAUCUUUUCUUCCUGAGGCUAUAAAUUGCUAGCCCCGGACCUCCUCUCCCUUUUCCCUCUUUUACCCGAGCCUCCCAUGCCUUAGCCACCUCUCCAAGCGAGCUCCGUCUCUCUCCGUCGCCGCCACCAACUCCAGCCGUCGUUCGCCGUCGCCUCGGCCGUCACCAACCUGCGCCGCCACCUCCCUCGGCUCCGCAAGGCCAAGCUCCACCCCUGACAUUCGCUCCCCUGCGCCGAACCCCGCAAGCCACCCUCACCAUGAAGGCCGAGCUCGCCGCCUUGUUUUGAUCUCCGGCGAAGCCUUGCCGCUUCACCACCCGUCAUCGCCGGACCUUGCUGUCUCCUCCGUUGGUUUCGCAAGGACCUUGGGAAGGCCGUCCACCCCUUCUCUUCUGCCGGUGUUCACUGGGGUGGCGCCGCCACCAUCAUCUCGAUCUCACUGCCGCUCGAAGCUCGUCGCCAGUCGCCGUACUUCUCCGUUCAAUGUCGCGUAAGUGCUGGUAAGGUUUACCUCGGUCUCCUCUUCCUCGCCGUGCCCUCUGUGUCUGCCGCCGCGCUGAAGUCGCAGCUGUCGCCAACAUCUAGAGCCGCCGGCGUCCAUCCCGCGUGGCAUGCCACGUCAGAGCCACUUCAUCGCCUGUCUCGCGUGGCGUCCACCUCAAAACCCUAGAUCGGAUCGAUCUCAUCCGUCGGAUCAUGAUCAAAGUCUGAUCAAUGAAAUCCUAGCCAUCCAUCCCGUGGACCCGUGGACCUCUCUGUGAACCGAGUUCGUAUUAGACCCGGUCUACCGCUUGUCUCUAUGACAUGCGGGUCCCGCUUGUCAGCAACAUCAGUCCAUUCUCACUCCUCGCUGAUGUCAUAUUCCUCCUUUAUCAGUACAAAAAUAAUUCUAUAUGAUGCCAUAAAUCAUUUAGGUUGUUUUCUUUAUAGGUUUUAAUUGAUUAAAACUUCAUUAAUUCAUAACUAAUUCAUAUGAACUCGGAAUGAGGUCGUUCAAGUAUCAUAAUUCAUCUAAAUUCAUCUCUACUUUUAAUUAUACUGUUUAUUUGGUUUUAUUAGUGUUCUUCCUCAUUUUGUGUUCUAGGUUUAGUUUGUAGUCGUUUUGAAGGAUUGCUCGUUCGUGGGAAGUUCCUAAAGACGAAUUGAAGAUGCUUGUUUGCAAGGCAAGUCACAUAUAUCCCAACCACAAUCCUUUGAGCAUGUUGAUCCUAUAUUUAAAUUCUCUAUUUAUUUCAAAUGUGCAUUUAUUUUCGAAUGUUAUUGGGUGGUGUGAGUCUUUUUCCUAUAUUUUCCUAUGGGUUAUAAUUUGACUAGCUUAGGCCUUAUAUAUUGGUUCAGCUAGAUAUUAGAUAUAAUUGCUUAGUCAUGAUUAGAAACAUUAGCACACUAUUGGGAUAUUUAAUGCUUCACUAUUACUUAAUGAUGGACAUUUAAUGGUAGCUCACGAUGGCCAAUCGUGUUUGGUUAAUUAAAUAAUUUGUCAACUGAAAUUUGAUAAUGGUCGGUUGUGAGCACAUGGUCUUGAUGGUCGUGCACUCGUGCUCAUGACGAUAAAGUACCGGUUCAUGGGAAACACUGGAAGAAUUACCCAUACUUACUACAAGUUAGCGUGGGCAACGGCUGGACUUGCAGUGUGGUUUGACCUAGUCGACGUACCCGGGCAAGGGUGGGCGUGAUGGAGUAUGGAUGGGCCCUGCGAUGGUCUAAGCUGCUUUCGGAUUUACCUAGGCACGAGAGGGUGCUGCCCACUGCCUGUUGAGGAGUGGGGGCGAAACCUACGGUGUGAUUCGAUUGGUUAGGGGGGUGUGCGAAGGGUCCUGUCAUAGUCACAAUCCGGUAUGUCGUGGUGGCAUGUCGGAACACGGUAACGUGUUGUGAGAUUGUGUCUUGUGAGUACAGUUGUACACCUCUGAUCAGAGUAAAACUAUUCAAAUAGCCGUGCCCUCGGUUAUGGGAGGUCAACCAGAUUCACCGUGAUUUGCCUCACCAUAAUAAUUUGACUUGACAAACUAGUUUAGUUCAGGUGGUUUGGUUGGGUCUAUGCAAUGGGUAUGUUGUAUAACUUUUGACAGUCGUUAUAGGCCAAUUUCUACCGUCAAUAUAACUAAAAUAAAGGAGAACUAGCUAUGCUUGCAAUGCAUAUUCGCUUUAGAAUAAUCUAUUUCCACUUGUACUUGGAUAUUAUUUGCUUGCACUCUGCUUGCCAUUGCUCUGCAAGCAAAUAAUAUCCAUUUCACUUCUACAUAAAAUGUAGGAGAAUCAAUGGAAAAUAAUUGAAUAAUCAAUCAAACAUCGUCGAGAGUUAGACUUAUAGGUAAAUGGGCUUACAAAUCCAGUGAAACAAUCUCAAAAAUCCCAAGACACCACGUCACUGAAGUAAGGAGCAAAAUUUUGGCCGAUUGGGCCAGCCCAUGGUUCGGUUGAACCCCCGUCUUAGCCGUUCAGGCUGGGGUUUGGCGUGGACGCUCCGGAUGACGUCCUAUGGCAGUUGCGCGACAUUUCUGACAAUUCGCAUGCUCUACAACCGUCAUACCUGCCUAUUUAAGAAGCUCUCAUUCUCGCUUCACAACACACACUCAAGAAGAAGAUCAAAGAGCUCACUCAAGUUUAGUAGAGCUCUACUGCUAGUGGAGUAGGAAAUAUAAUAGUUUUCUUAGUCCUCGAGUCUUCAAGAGAUUUCGGGUAUGGCUCUAGUAACUUUCCUCUCUUUUUUUCUAAGACUUAUUUAAUUAAUAGAAUAUUUUUCUUUAUACAUCUUCGGUAUUUUAUUCCCUUUAUAUUAUCUGAGUACCGACUUUAUUUUAUACUUCUGUCGAUAUAGUUGUGUAACUAACUUAUCAGAGAGGUGCAUUGGUGAGGGUUUAAUGUCCGAGAACUCGGUUGCUCUAUGUCGGAUUCAUGGAUGUAGAGUAGUAUUUAGUAAUCUAAGCAUGGUGCUUGGAUUAUUAAGUAUUAUUAUCUGGGCAUAUAUGCUGCAGACAAUAGAGAUGGGCCGCUGAUGGCGAUAGCUCGGUACGGGUAUUCCUCCAUGUUAGUAUAUAUUCCUAAGGCACAUUCCUAGGGAGGGUACUCCUCCGUAUUUAGCCCCGGUUGGAUGGCCAUGACAGGUUGUCAUAUGGAACUCCGCAAUCAAGGGUGAUCUCUCGAAACACCAGGAGAGCACUGUUAGGGGGUAUUGGUUCCAUGAUUGUAUACCAGCGAGUGUAAACUAAGGAUGUUUGCAUACUAGAAGUAUAGGAUUGAUUCUUUUCUUUUCAUAUCCCCAGUUAGCCUAGGUUAUAUUUUAGUGAGAAUAUCUUAGUUCUUUCUUCCGUGUGUCACCUUUAUCCUACCCUUUGAACUACUUAACCCCUACAUAGACCUUGAUAUAUACAAGUAAUAUAUAAAUGAUUAGCAUAGUUCUCCCUUAUCAUAUCUUCCCUUGGGAUUAAAUAAAUAUGAUACCUUAGAAUAUUUCCUGGUGAAAUGCUACAAUUGUCGACAUUUGAUGUCGUAAUUCCAGUAUUUGCGUAGUAUGGGGAUUGUUGGUACUAGGAUAUAUGCGAGAUUGAGGUAAAACAGAUCGAGACAGAAAUUUUAUACAGGUUCGGGCCCCUGAAUGGUCAAGUAAUGUCACGUCCCAAAACGACUCUAAAAUACAUCCUCUAAAUUAUGCCUAGAAUAAUUAAAAUCCGUGUGAAAGCCUCCAACAAUUAAAAUGUGCAAAUUUAAAAGUCAAAUAAGGCUUGGAGGAUUUUUGUAUAUUUCCUAAAAGCCUAAAAUGCGUAAAUAAUUUUAGUGGAAUUUUCAGAGCACAAAUAAUAAUUAUUAAGAAAUAAACAAAGUUAAAAUGAUUUUAUAAAAACAAAAACUCUAAAAAGUCCCCUUUCCCUCUUGGGCCGGCUCGGCCCAUCUCCCUCCCCCUCCCUCUCCUCUCCCCGCGGCCCAUCCAGCCUCUCCCCGCGCGCGCGCCGCUGACGGGCGGGCCCGCCCGCCACCCUCGCUGACGGGUGGGGCCCACCUGUCAUCCCCUUCCUCCCGCCGCCUCUCCCGCGCCCUAGCGCCGCCGCCGCCGUGAAUCCCGCCGCCUCCCGCCGUCCCCGCGUGCAAUAAAGAGGGGGAAAUCACUCCCCGUGAUCCCCUCUCCCUUUCCCCCCAUUUUUCCCUCUCUCUCUCGCGUUCAAACGGGCGGAUUUGCCCCCGCAAAUCUCGCCGGCGCCAUUGAUGGCGGCCGGACCUCCCGCGCCUAUUCCUUCCCCGCCGGCCGCUCUCUCCCCCCCUUCCAACCCUAUUUAAACCCUCCCCGCACCUCCUCCGUCCGUUUCUGCCUCUGGCCGCCCUUCCUCCUCGCCGGAAUCGAGCUCGCGUCGUCGCUCUCUCUCCGCCGUCGCCGCCGAGCUCCGGUCCACCACCGUCGUCGCCCCAGACCACCUCCCACCUCGGCGCCACCUCCUUCGGCUUCGCCGCAUCCUCACCGACCUCGUCCACCCCUCCGUUUCGCUCGUCGACCGCCGGAGCGCCGCCGUCCCCGUCGACCCGAGCCGCGCCGCCGCCUUCCUCCGCUCCGGCUGCCUUUUCGUCGUCGCCGUCGACCAAGGGUGAGCCGUGGACCGCCGCCUCAUUUCCCCCUUUCCCUCCCCUCUCUCGGCCGCCGCUCCGAUGUGCCCAUGGCCGCCGCCGGCGACCAUAGGGGCGCGGGCGCGCCGCCUCCCGCCGGCCGCGCCGACGUGGCCGCCUUCGGGCGCACCGAGCGGCUGCCGCGUGGGGCCCGGCCGUCAACCGCCCGCGCCCUCGGGUGCGGCUGACGCGUGGGACCCACGGCGCCGGCCGGUGUGAGCCUGAGUGCACCCGGUCCACCGUGGACCGUGAGGCUGCCGCGUGGGCCCCACUCCCGUGGACCCGGUCCGCGCGCCCCCUCCCCUCGGCUGACGCAAUAAACCCUUUUAAAAUUAAAAUUUAAAUGAAGAAAUUCGCAAAUAUUCAUUUAAAGAGCAUAUAAACUUUAAAUGGCCAUAACUUGGCCAUUUGAACUCGGAAUUGGACCGUUCAAGUCUCUAAUUUUUCCUUAAGAAGUCAAGAACCCAUUUUUGUGCUUUGUUCGUUCUUGUUAUAUGGAGUUUAUUAGAGUAAAAGCCUUUUCUUUUCCGUUGGUCGUGUAGACGCUGCAGCUUCGGAAGAUCCGCUCUUCGUGGAAGUUGAAGCCGACGUUUGGGAAAGCGAGCAAGGCAAGUCACAUCAUCCUUGAACAUAUUGAAUCCCAGUUUAUAAAAUUAUGUUGAUUUAAAUUAUUGCAUUAUCGCUUUAUUUAAAUUCUCGCGUUAUCACUGUUUUAUCUAGCCAUGCCUAUUUACCUUUGUUAUGACCUUAUUAUUGUUAUUGUUAUUAUUUCCUUGUUCACCCUAGAAUAAACAAAACCCCAACUAGUGGACACUCUACUCAUGGUACCACUAGUAUGAUUUUAGGUAGAUGCUUCGCUGGUUAAUUAGGCAACAUUAGGUGGUUUUACAACUCUAGACUUUGGGAUAUUCAUAUCACCUGGACACUAUGGAAUGGUUUGAUUAUUGUGGAAAUUGGAUUCACACCUCCCCCUCUAUUCAAAAUCCUCAAAAUGGUUUUAGGCUGGGCUCGGGGUGCAUGGUUUUGAUAGUAGCACCUCGGCCAUAUAAGGACCGGUCUUCGAGCCUCUGUUGCAAAGCACUACCGUACUUCCACAUGUCUAGUAGGUAAGGCUUAGUUUGUGGCUCAGUCUGGUUAUAAACAAAAGCCUGCCGUCAAGCGCCUGUGGUCGUCGCCCUAGUCUUCCGCUGUUUUCCGUUUGUUUUUGUGUGUGCUGGGUCUUCGCCGCCCAUGUAAUAAAUUAACUAUUUACGCUUCCACUUUAUAAACUCUGAAAUGUAUCAACUUUUGGUGUACCUUGCCUCCUGGGACAAGGAAUAAUACACGCACGUAAGGAACGCCCGUUGGGUUAAUUCCGAUCGUGACAAGUUGGUAUCAGAGCCCCCUUGACCCUAGGACGAGCCGUAGAUCCCAAGCCUUAGCAAUAUUUUCAAAAUAAAAAUCCUUUCUUAUUUGUGAAAAUCCUCUAGUCUCUCUCUGUCCUGCUGCUUCAUUUAUCGUCAAAAUCUGACCUUUAAAAUGUUGCUUUUCUCUUUUGUUUUUGUUUGUAGAUGGCCGGCAGCAUCAACCGUCAUGGUCUGCACCUGACUGGCUUCGUUUUGGAGCUGCGGGGCAUGUGCGUUGUCCUGGGGUAUCUGCAUGGAGUGGACUACCAGGGCAAGCAGCUCCCGGAGCAGGAGGGUGACGAUGCAGAGCCCCACGCUGCUUGGGAGGUUACUGCAGUGAUCCUCACUGGCUCACCCGAGAGGAUUUCGUUGGCAGUCACCGCGGGUGGAGAUUCCUUCUCCGCCGCUUGCCAGAACGCCGCACUCCUCGCCAUCGGCACUCUGCACCAGCGCUACCCGGACGAGUUGCAGCACUCGCCCUACCGCUACCACCCUCGUCGCGGAGGAGCCCGCGACUACGCCACCUUCCGGGAUGCUAGCUCGGAGGAUGACGCUACCAUCAUGCACCUGGCGCGCAUGGUGGAGGCGUACGACGCGGCCCAUAUCGACUUCCAUCAGAUGAUGCGUCGAGGGUUGGUUGAGAACAACAUGAAGAUCCUGGAGCUACGUCAGGAGAAUCUGCAGCUGAAGAAGGACCUAGACGCAGUGGAGGCGCAGCUGCGUCAGCUCAAGAUCGCCCAGGGAGAGGUCUGUCGCCCCAAGCGUCGCCGCGUCUGCCACAGCCUGAAGAUCACCGCCCGCAAGAGUACCUCCAGGCCCGAGCUUGUUCGUCAGUCCCUAGCGUGGACCUGCUUCGUCGAGACCCCUCGUGCCGAGCCCGCCCCCGUGGUUCCUCAGGAGGAGGGAGCCUCUGGCGUUGGCAGCACGGAGGAUGCGCUGCUGCUCACCUUCCGCCCUGGCUCAUCGCAGCAGUAGACGAGCAGUUAGUAGGCUUGCACGUGUGUUCUUCUCGUUUGUUUUUCUGCUAGAGUCGUAUGGGGCAUGGUUAUGCCGGUGUGUGGUAUAACUGUGUUGGAGCCUGUCUUUAUUUUAUUUGCUUAAGAAACUUGAACCUUAAUGAACCAAUUUAAUAGCAGUAAUAAAUUCAAGAAUUAUGGUAGUCGUGGGUGGUUAGCUUUAAUUGUCAGCUCUCUCUGUUUGCUGGUUCUGUGUGGGAUUUUCAGAUGGUGACGACCAGGAGGCAAGGUACACCAAAAGUUAUAUUUAAUGGUAGCUCACGAUGGUUAAUCGUGUUAUGAUAAUUAAUUGAUAAUUAAAACUUGACAAUGGUGGGUUGUGAGCACAUGGUUUUGAAGGUCGUGCUCAUGACAAUUAAGGACCGGUUCGCUAGCUACUGUUGUGAGACAUUAACCGUAUCAACCACAAGCCAGCGUGGGCAACGGCUUUACCUUUUGUAUAGCAUGAUUCAUUGCGGGGUGCCAGACUGAGAAGCGGCGAGAAGUCCGUGGGGGUCCCUGGGGAGUCCAUGCCUCUGGUUAUAUUUAUAGAGGGGGUGAUUAUGAUCCAGGAAUGGUGCACUCUGGUGAGUUGUGUUGUGCAGAGGGUAUUGUCACAGCCUCUAUUCGGGUACUUUCCAGUAUCGCGACGCAUGUUAGACAUGAUGUCAAGGCUGUGUCUUGUGGGUACAGUGGUACACCUCUGGCCAGAGUAAAACUAUUCGAAUAGCCGUGCCCGCGGUCAUGGGCGGGUUGAGCAAUGUUUUUCGUGAUUAGUCUCAAACCUCUCACAAUAAUUAUUGAUGCUAUAAUUGGUAAUAAUUUGUUUAGCUCCUGGUUUGGAGUUAGAUCUGUGCAGCCGGGUUUGGUUGUUCAGAAUGGUUGGGCCUGAGCAGCAUGGGUGUGCUGUUCAGUGUUGAUUAAAAUUGAUGAUUACUCUACUGUUUUACUAUUCUUAAAUAUUUGCUAAAUGCUGCUUUUGCAAAUGAGCCUAUAUUAUGCCAUCCUUUGGUAUCCUUGUGCACUUGCAUAUUUGCUGUGUGGCUUGUUGAGUAUGUCAUAUGCUCAUUCUUGCAAUAAUCAAUCAACCUUAGUUGAAGAAAAAUGAUCCAAAAGGAGAAGACAUUUGGCUUAUACACCAGUUGAGCUGCCUGUGGGAGUGGAGCUGAAGCCAUCGCUAGACCGUUAAUUCCGCUGCUGUUUUCUUUUCUUUUGUAAGUAUGUAACGUUAUUAUUAUGAUGGAUUUGUAUAUUAAAUUGUCAGUUUGUGUACCUUGGCUGAUUCCUGGACGAGGAUUUUAUGUACAAAUUAGUUCGGAAAUUACUAGUGAAUUUCCGGGCAUGACAAAACAAGAUUUCGACAAUACAAAAAGGGCUAUCAAGCUGGAAAAGUGGAUGGGCUAGGAGACACAAGGUUUCACUACAAGAGAAAUUGGUUUUUGUGAUGAUUAAUUUUGACACAAAAUGUUUUAUUCAUCACAAGCAAGCGACUGUGGCCAAUUCUGAAGUUUGUCACUAGUCGCCACUGGUAAUCAUCACAAAUAACAUAGUGAUGAUUUUGUGUUCGCCACAAAUAUUCAUAAAUAUUAGUGAUGGUAAAAUUUAUCACUGAUAAUAGUUACAUCAGAGACGACAUACGCCGCCACAAAUAUGUUUAGAAUAGUGGUGAUAGUUUCAUCACUUAAGAUUUUUAUUGUGGCCCCAAAAAUUGCCACGUUUAGUAUAUAAUUAUGACUAUAAAAUUGUCACUAUUGUAAUUUACAAAUGUGAUUAUUUAUAUGGCCACUACUUCCGUUAGAUCUGUGGCAGCGUUACUGUCACUUUUGAUGUUUUAUGUGGUGAAAUUUCUUCUCACCUCUAUACCAUUUCCGUUGAUUAGGACGAUUAAUAGUGAUGUGUUUAACGCCACAAAUGAAUAGUUCGUGUUAAUUUUUUAUCACAAAUAAUCUUUUUUUUGUGAGGCCACGUAAGAUGUGUGACAAUUUUUCAUCACAAGAACUUAUACUCCCAGGACCACUACUAUUUUUCACCGUGACAAUUGUAUUAAUGAAAUAUAAAUUUUAUUUUGCAUCGAACACCAUUAAAAAAAAUAACAUCUCAAUUAAACCAAAUUAAGGAACAAUGAUAUUGAAAUAUUUAUUCAGAAGUCUUACAACCAAACAAAUGUUGCACUCAACAAGAAGCUCAAAAUUUCUCACGAAAUGCUGACAUAAACAUCAUGAUGAGAACUAAAGCAACCAGUAGAAACUUAAAUGGGACUAAUACUAAAUUAUUCGGUGAAAUAGACUUAGGAUGUCUUCAGCUUGAUUAAAUAGACUUCUGGAGAUCAACUUCAUGCAUUCUAAUGGUCCUGUAAAUAUGAGCAAAUAUAUUUUUAGCUUUCAGUACUUAAAAAGCCAUUGCAUGAAAAACAAAACAUUAGUCAUAUUUUAUUGUUUCUUACAUCUGAUGGAGAUCGUGAGGAUGAAACACCAUUGGAAGAAGCGAAGCGUGAGAAAUAUAUGGCCAUUUGCUCAUCAAGUUUUUGUUGUACCAUUCUUUCAACAUCUGUAGCUUGUCCCUCUACUGUCCUUCUCUGGGAGUUCAACUCAUCACGUUGAGAUUGUUGCUCUACUUGCAACUGGGCAUUUGUUUCAUCCAAUUUGCGGACUUGGUCUUCCAUAGCUACUGCUCGCUGUUCCGCAGCAUCAACACGCUCCUGGGCAGUAGCUGCAUGCUUUUCAGCAGCCUCAACUUGUGCAAGUAACCUUAGCCUUUCUUCAGCCACUCUAUUAAUUGCACGUAAGCCUAUACCACGUGAAUGGUUCGCUUUUUUCCCAAGGACCAAGGCAAAAUGCUCUACUAGUGGUACUGCUGCAGAACAUAUAUUUUCUUGUUGUGAUUGAGCAACUUCAUUUAGUUUAGACUGUUGACACAGAUUAUAAAAAGAAAAUGUAUAAGCAUAAACAAACUAACACCUCAUACAAGGUUUCAAGGUACAACAAAUAUGAUUUUUAAUCACUUACUAUUCUAGUUUUUUUUGCAAGUAUUAGAUCAAACAGGGCCUAAUAUAAAAUGAAUGAUAUCACUUACUGAUUAUUUAGCAACAACACAGUUCAGUAGUUCACCUAGCCCAUUUAGUAUGCACUUCUUGUGAGGUGGACUUGUUAAGGUGAAAUUUUAGAGUAAUAGAAGCAUUUGUAAUGUGAAAACAACAGUAAGCAAAAGAAUCAUACAGAUAGGGCAGAUGGAAGCGUUUCCAAUGGUAAAAUAGUACUACUCAGAAGGUACAUUGACACAUAUCAUAUAGUUUAGGCUGAAAUCUAAAAAAACAAGUUGUCAUAAGUAAAGAUAUAUACCAGAACUCGUUCACCAUUAGGAACAGACCAUGUUCCAUCAGCCUUUUGAUAGGUUGCUUUCCAAACUUGCAUUGUUGUAGGCCAUUCACCUGUCUCUUUGUUUCUCUGCAUGUAAAUGAGAAAAUGAGCUGUACAGUUAACAAAAAUACGGAGAAAGUGAAAGACAAAUGGCUAUAUUGUUCUCACCAGUUCAUGUGCAAUUUGAGCAAUUGAUUUAGUUCCCACUUUAGAGCCCAUCUCCUGCUUUGCCCUGUUAGCUGCAUUCUGGUUGCUUCUUUUCUAUAUAAUAAAAUUUCAGGCAUAUCAAUUAUUAUGCAUGGAACAUGGCACAAUUAUAUUAAAAAAAAUAAGCACCUGAAAAUCCUCAUCGGUCCACACAUGCUUUAUCAGCCAAGCCCAAUCUUCUGGUGAAACAUGGGUUGGCCUUGGUUUCUUGUUAUGGUGCAAGCAGUGGAGACGAUAACGUCGAUUACUAUACUACUCUUCAACCUGCUUCAUAGCACAAUCUUCAUCUUCGUUGCGUAGCUCAGGAAAUGCAUCCUGUCAGCAAAAGUUCCAUGUUGGCAACUAAAAAAAAUAAAUAUGUAAAAUAUGUUGACAUAAGAAUAUUUAACAACCUUCAACUUCUUCCAAACAUUAGCCAUUGUACCAGGAUGUUGCUUUUCAAUGGUCUUCCAUUUUUUGGCUUUCAGAGGCACAUGAUUUCUUACAAUAACGGUAACCUCACUUUUAAAUAAUUUUGCAUGCUUUCCACACACUUUUCCAAAUGGUUGAGGAAAAGAAAUAUCUAGCCUUUCUCUUCUUGCCCUUUUCUUAACAAGUUUGGUAUUGAUGGUGACUUUUCGCCCCCCCCCCCCCCUCCUUGGAGCACGACCUAUGUCAGUAAAAACAGGAGCAGUCAAAAUAGACAUUUCAAUGUAAAUAGUUCAAUUAAACCAUGGCAAAAAUAUUAUUUGAAACAAAUCAUACAUCUUGAGUUUAGCAGUGUAGAGGCAAUUUGUUCUGCAUCAUCCAUGGCAACAUCAGAGGCCUGCUGAUCAUCUGAAUUUGGCAAUGCACAUGUUGAAUUGAGACAUAACAGUACAGAUGGACUUUAAACAAUAUUUAUCCCCACAAUAUAAAUAAUUCAGUUGUAGAGAUAUAUAUUGUACAGGCUCUAGCUAACGAAUUAUUUCACCUAAUGCAUCAAAGUGCUUGUGUUUAAUAGAAAUUUUACCUAUGUCUUGUUCGCUUCUAUCAAUGGCAUGAUCGAUGCCAUUUGUUCACCCACAGUCCCCACUUGACGAGAUCGUUGACGUGUGGCCGGUUGAUCUGCAGUAUCCACUCGUUGAUUUCCCUGACGCAGCCGGGAACUCAUUUUUUCUGUAACAUUGAAAAAAGAAAUAUUUACUGCGUCUAGACAAUAAGAGCAGGGGACGAAAAAGAUAUGAAUAGCAAAUUAAACCGAAAGAAUGAUAAUUGAGAAGAAGACAUAACAAAUGGACACGAUGGACAUCGGCAGCGGCGGUGUCAUCGUUUGCGGCGAUUGCAGCAAUAGAGGCAGUGAUGGACAAACAUGGUGGUGUGUUUGUGCGCAAGGCUGACUAACAAAUAGUAUUCCCAGAUCGAAUUGAAUCGUUUAGCACUUUACCUUCGCUUGCAGCUUCUCUCCGGGAAACCUACCGUAGAAACCUCAAGGUUCUGUUUCUGUUUGACUCUGGAUGUUGAAAAGAUUGGUUUGGGAAAUGAGGCUGUAUAUAUAGACCCAUCGUUUUUGGCGGGAGAAAUAAUUUGACGCCAAAUCUUUGAAGGGAAUUAGGAAGAUGGUUCUCAAUCUAAACACCCUGCGGCAAUGGAGAAGGAGGCCGGUUUGCCUCACCAUGGUUUUGGUUGCCUAUUAGUCCGCUAGUAGCAGAAACAAUCCCUCCGAAGAAGAACACGCGUUAUCCUAACGAACUUGAGAAUGAGCAAAUAUCUCAAGAAACCACAGAAAUCCCCAUACUACAGAAAAUAUCCCAACAAAAUCUCUGCACCUCAACGACUCAUACCUGGCCAUCCCGUGAACUUCUCACCGGCCGGUGCUAACCCAAAAAUCCUCAGGAGAAAUUUUCACGCUGCCACCCGAAUUUUGCAAGCAGCUGCCUAGAUCCAGAUCGAGAAUAUGCAGGUUGCUGCUGUAGGUGCCUCUAGGACGCUCUAAAUGCUGCUGGCUUUAAUACUCCUAGACAGGAGGAUAAGGAGGAGUUCAAAGCUACUAUAUAAAGAGUAGUACUCCUACAUAGUACUUUUUUAAGCAACAGUACGAGUGUACAUAUUGGAUUAAUACAAGCUAGUUACAUUACGUUUUAGCAUAAUAAAACCAUUGAUUGACCGAUGGGUCCAAUUUAAUUUUGCAUCCAUGCCAGUGUCAAAAAUUUAAUCUCGCAUACUAUUUUAAUGGAUAGGUAAUGACGGUAAAUUAAAAAUAAUGGCCAAUUAAUUAAUUACUAAUGGUUUAGGCUGUGUUUAGAUCCAGGGUAAAAAGUUUUGCGUGUCACAUCGGAUCUACGGACACACAUUUAAAGUAUUAAACGUAGUUCAAUAAAAAAAAUAAUUACAGAAUCCGUCAGUAAAUCGCGAGUCGAAUUUAUUAAGUCUAAUUAAUCCGUUAUUGGCAAAUGUUUACUGUAGCACCACAUUAUCAAAUCAUGGUGCAAUUAGGCUUAAAAGAUUUAUCUCGCAAAUUAGUCGUAAUAUGUGCGAUUAGUUAUUUUUUAGUCUAUGUUUAAUACUUCAUACAUGUGUUCAAACGUUCGAUGUGACAUGUUGAAAAAUUUUGGGUGGGAUCUAAAAAGGGCCUUAGUGCGCGAGUAAACCGAUGCAGAUGAUGAGCAGCAAGCCGACAUCACGAUGAUGCUCAAACUAGAGUUAUGACCUAGUGCUAUUUGAGUGCUCAUAGAAAAUGGGUGUGCGCGUGUUCACGAUUGUGUCCAUUUGGAGGCAUAAAUUAAAUUUUUGUGAUACUAAAAACAAUCUUUUGGACCCAUGGACUUUAUAAAUGUAAUACAAAUGUCAGAAUAUCUGGGUCAUAGAAUGAUCGAAGCGUGUAUUUUUUCUUUAUUAAAUGCAAAUGCUUAUGGAACAAUUUAUAUUUAUAUGAUAGUAGACCACCUGUCAGCCACCCAGUGACAAUUUAUAUGUAGAAAAUCAUUUGGCUUGUUCGGUACAGCAUUUUUUGGCUGUGGCUACAGCUGUAAGAACCAAACAGACCCAUUAAUUUUCUGUCCUCACCACCUCUCUAGUUGCCAUCGAAAUUAAAUGGCAGACUCGGCGCGGUGGUCGGCCUCCCAGCCGACAAGCCCUCUAAACCUCCUUUAUUCUGUUCUUGAGCGGAUAGUAAACAUGUUUAUUCCAUUUUCUACAUGUGAGUGUGGUGCUUAAAAAAAACAUGUAUGGAAAAUAUAUGGAGAAUAAAUUAUUAUGUUGCUCUUUAAUUCCUUUGUAAAAAAAGUUUUGUCCAAAAUUUGUUGCUUUGCCACUUAUUAUAGUUAGUAUAUGCGGUGAAUAAAAUUUUUGGAAGAAAUACAAAUUUAAAAAAUAGAUUUUAGAUAAAUUGUACAUGGCAUAUCCAAACAAUUAUUAAUGAAUAGUGAGAACACAUUUUUUUCGCUAAUUUGAAUUUCUAUGAAAAAAAUAGUAUGCCACCAGAUAUGGAUGAUAUUUUACAAAUUCAUCACAAUUAUAGUAUCCUGUGACGAUAUGAAGGUUUCCCACUAAUAAAAAAAUAUUAGUUGCGAAUGAGUUUGCUACAACUAGGGACUCCUGUGACAAUAUAACAAUUGGUCACUAAUUAAAAAUUAAACAGUGGCAACAGGAUGGUUCACCACAAUAAAUUCGCCACUGAUAAGGCCUCUUGUGCUGACACAGUGUUCUCCCACUAAUAAUACAACGACAGUGGCAAAAUAUUAAUUUCUCACUAAAGAUUUGACACUAAUGCUAUAUAUUGUGGCGACUUAACAUAUUCUCACUAAUGAUCAGUAUCGCAGUGGCGAAAACUUUUUUGGUCACUACAAUUGUAAUAAAUAGUGGUGAAAUAAAACUUCGUCACAUUUUUUGGACACAAGAAGUCUGAACUCCUGUAGUGUUUAUAUAGGUUUAGGUCUUCUCAAUGAGAAGUAAUACCCUACUCCUGUCCGGGGAUUGAUCCGCCGAGUGUAUUGUUGAUCGUAUAAUCAGAGAGAAAGGUUAUGCCCCUGGAGGCACCUGGAUCCUCCUUAUAUAGGGGGAGGAGCCAGAAUUACAAGAUACAGCCCAUGUUCCUAACGACUAGGCAUGUAAAGAUAAAUUAUAAUCGUAACCGACUAGGACUAUCGGAUGUUUCCUUGAUAUAUAAGUUAACAUAACAACUGAGUCCUUUACUAAAUAUAUUCUAUCAGUAUAUUUGGUAUCCCUAUACCUAGUCGGAUACACAUGCGUGUAGGUAUGGGGUAUCCAUAAUCUCCACAGUAGCCCCUGAGACCUAAACAAUCGACGAAAUAAUCUUCUCCCGAGUCAUUAAACGAAAAUCCCGAGUGCUUCAAUUAUCUCUGCCUUGGCCUCCCUAGUGGUUGAAUCAAAUGCUGUGAAGGGCUAAAAAAUUUUAGGUGCAUCGACUAGAUGCACCUAAUAGGUGUAGCCCCCGACUAUGUGAUUAGUUGGAAAAAACUAAACAUAUAGUCAAGGUUAAAAUAAAUAACUAGGUGAGUGGUUUUAUGAAUGGUACUACCGAAGUAAUUUAAUAUUAAAGCAUAUUCGACUUCAUCUGAGGAAUUUGCCGACUGCUUAAAUAAGAUUAUUGAGCUCACUAUGAAACAUAGAUGAUAUAUAAAGAUCCGAGUGAUAAGAGCACUCUACAGAUCUAUCAUCUAUUUUGGGGCAUAAUACAUCAUUUGUAUUAAAAUUCGAGUAAAAACCAGUUUAACCGCUAAAUAAAUAACGACUUACAAGUUUAAUCAGCCUAAGCCGUAACUUUAGUCUGUUAUUAAGAGAAUGAAGCAUAUAAAUGCUCAGAAGGAACAUGCUAACAACCAAAUUUAGUAAUUUCAGUAUCGAAGACAAAGAUAAAACUGAGGCGGAGUCUAAGGUGGAAAUCAUUUCGGAAACAGGGCAAGGAUCGGCUAAAGUCCGAAUCGACUGCGAUUGUGAUCGGCAGAGUCCGAGUUGGACAAGGAUAGCCGAUUGAGCCGAAUCCGACAAUGUGACAUGGUACACGUUGUCGGGUUGAGCUAAUGUGCUUCAUGAGAAUUGCCACGCACGGAUUGGGUCCUGAGAAGGCAAUUGUAUCUAUUAAUUAGGUUAUUUUAUGUAAUUUCCUUAGAGAUAUGUUUGGGCAAAAGUCUGCCGCAAAGAUUUAUGGUGUCUUAGAGUUUGUUUCGUGUCCGACACGGACAUAUUUUGUAAUCUCGGGUAUAAAUAGACCCCGAGCCUCAUGUAAUCAAUCUAACACACGUUCAAUACAAUCUUGGCGCAUCGCCACCCUUUUACUUUCGUUUUGUUUCGACGAGUUCUUGCUUUUGGGUUGAGCUGCAUCGGUUUCGAUCUUCAACUAGAGGUAAAACUUGCUAUGGCGGCUUGCGUUCUCGGGAUUAGUGCUUCCAUCUUUAUGAUAGUCUAAUCUUGUUUAUGUAAUUCGUCGAGUUAUCAUAUAUUCUGUAUAAUCUUUGACAAUAUUGUUAUCUAACCUUCAAUCGGAUAACAUCUAUCAUUGGAAGGCAGCCGAUUAGGUUAAAUAUCUAUGUUGGCUUAGAUUGUACAGGAUAUCCACCAUCUAUGAAAUACCCAACGGCUUGAUUGUCUAGAUAUUGUCCUUUUCAUAAUUAUAGCUGCAUCAGUUGAGUUUGACCUUAUAAGUCAUGAUUAGAAUCUCAACCUCUAGCAUGCUUUUGGUUGCCGAUUAGGGUAGUAUCGGGGUUUCAGCCGAUCUUACCUGAUUUAGCCUUAUAUUUCAUGUUUAAUUGACAUGCUAGAUCUGCCCUUUAUAUUAUGAUCUUAGUACAACAAAGUAUGUUAGGCUUCCGUUUGAUAUAUUUUUGAUUGCUUUAAUAUCUUAAUAUAUUGUAGUAUCGGAGUAUUAGCCGAUACAUGCUAGAUCUAUCUGAUCGGCAAUGCUAUGAGCAUCUAUAAUCUCAUUGUUAAUAUAUAUUUCAAUCUAAGUGAUUUAUACUGUCUCGGCAUGGCGACCGAUCUAUCCCAAUCACUUGAUUUAAGUAUAUAUCGAUAUAAAGAUUAUAGGUUGUUAAUAUCUACAGCUGAUCGAGUAGAUUUAGUCUUUUCUUACUUAUUUAUAUCUGCCGAUCGAUUCAAACAUGACAUCGGCUCAGAGAUAAAUGAUAUGUCAUCGGCAACUAGUCGAUCGGCAAUCAUUUAUGGAUUUAACCGCGGUUUCUUUAUCUUUAUUUCUUGUUGAUUGCAGGAUUAAAUUAACUGGCACGCUCACGAACCUAAAGGCAAGAUUUUUGGACCUGCACUGAAGUUAAGCAGAUCUUCAAGGCCUCGUGUUUUCGCAUCAAUAGAACAACAACUUUAUAAACUAGUCGUCUUGAUUAAACCCUAACAGCUUUGUGACCUUAUAGAGAAAGUCAACAAAAAUAGCAUGAUGUUUUUGACAGUUGGGCACCUUUUUGUAUGCAUCGUAGUAAUUCCAAGGAAUUUACUAACUGCGAAAAAAGGAUUUUAACGGUAUCAGGCUUUAAUUUGUGUGGGCAAUUUUGCCUAAGCAAAAAUACGCCUAAGUCCCAAGAGACCACAUUCAGCCACACCGAAGGUAUAUUUGGGCUGAAAACACUGUAUGGGCCCAUGCCCAUUAGCAUUUUCCGAUACCCAACGAUAAAAUCACGUCGAAGGAAACCACUUUGUCUUCUUCGCCGCAACAGCUGCUCGUUCCCCAUUUCAUGCUACAGUAACAAACUUGUGCCGCCAAAAGCUAGGGUUCGCAGCUGCACCGCAAUCCGCCUCUUCCAAACCGUCUCCCUUCAACCGAAACCCUCCACGCAACCUCCGCCCUCAAUAGAGAAAACUUCCAGAGCCAAUGGGCACCUUCCGAUGUCAAGGAAGAAACUCUCAAGGAAAUGGUGGCGCAUGGGGUACUGCCAAGCAAGGAGAUCAUCGGGUGGCGUCCUGUAUUUGGUGAGCCAUUUCCAACUCCUGACACCCAUGAGAUCGUGGUAUUCACCCACUUCUUUUAUGGAGGCUUUGUACUUCAAACCUCUAAAUUCUUUUGGGGAAUUCUUGAAUUUUAUGGGAUUAAUAUCUACCAUCUCAACCCCAAUUCCAUUGUUCAUAUUGCGAUUUUUGUCCACCUCUACGAAGCUUUUCUUGGCAUUCGGCCUCACUUUGCCUUGUUUCGCCGAAUCUUUUUUUUAAAACCCCAGCCCGACAAAAAUAAGCCUUGCAUUGUUGGGGGAUCUGACUUCCAACUCCAUGGAACCCUGCACAAGAAAUAUUUUUCUCAUCCCUUCAAAACCUCUAACAAGGGCUGACAUGCUAACUGGUUUUAUAUCCAAAACCCAGACCCUGCCCUGCCUGAGUACUCGUGCUGUCCGCCUAAGUAUCGGGAUGUCUGGAACUCCCUUCCCAUGCGUGAGAAAGCGUCUCAAGCCCUUGAACUGCUGAAUAUAAUGUUGAAGAUAAAGGAACAGGGCCUUCAAGGGGAGCAAAUCACUCGGCAUUUCAUAAUGUGCCGACUGUCUCCAAUCAAAGAAAGAUCACGCACGACAUUUGAGUAUGAUGGGAAGACCGGCCCUAACUGAGAGGAUCCCGACUCCCUCGAAUUCAAAAUCAUGAAGGAGAGGAUGUAUAAGAUUUUAUCAUCUAGUAUCGUGGUUGACUUCACACAUCUGCUCCCGGUCGUGCCGUUCAAUGCCUUCAAUCCACCUCCAGCAGUAAGUGACAAGUCGCUUGAAUUUCUAUUAUGCUUGUUGUUAUUGAAAAUAAACCUUGAAUUAUUAUCCUUAGGAAAAUGCCUUGAUGAAAUCUGAUCCUCCGAUUGUUCAAUGUCGUUCUUUGCGGCGUCACCAGGGCCAAGCUACCGGGGGUCCAAAGAUCCAGCCCGGCGGCCAGAAAAGUAGUGCUAAUCUGGCUAAACAAGCGGGCUCUUGGAAGAGGAAGAUGAUCAUAGAUGAUGAUGAUGACAGCGAUGAUGAAUCGAUCGGCAAACAGCUUAAACAGGCUACUCCGUCGAAGAAGAAAACAACCAGUCGUCCGAUGCCAAAAAUCCGAAGAACUUCUAGGUAUAAGAUUUGUCCAUUUUGUUUUCUUAACAUUCACAAUUGUGUUUGCUGAAAUCAUCUUGCAAUAUCUUUUUAUUUCUUAGGAAACCGCCGGACAUUGGUCCGUCUAGUAAGAGCACUGACCCACCCGCUAGCUCGAAAGCAAUUGAAGAAGGAAAAACUUCACCCGCAACCGGGACUGGGACCUUCCGAGUAGAAACCCCGACUGGCGAAAAGCCAACGACAGGCGAAGCUGAUGCCAACAAAGAACCACCGACUGGAAACCAGUCGGCAUCCGCUGAAGCGAGCACAAACCAGGAGCCCUUGACUGGAAACCAGUCGGGUGAAGAUAAAGAAGACUCCCAGUAACCAAAUAUGGAUGGGGGAAGCAAUAUCCCUGAAACGGAGGAGCAAGCUAGCAGUCCUCCUCUGAACCAAGAUACAGAUGUUGGACCUGAAGCCAGCACUUUUGACAAGGUGGAAGGACCUGCUCGGCCACCGCCUAUAAUUAUCACAGGUAAUGCUCUCUCCAGUGAAUUCAUGUUAUCUCAUUGUUCUUAUAUAAAUGAAGGCCCAAUGGUUGGUGACGAAGAAGAAAUUCUUCGUACUAAAUCAGCUGAAGACUCCUAGCCGCCUAUCCUGGUCAAAUGGUGGGAUGAUGAAAUGCAACCGCAAGGCAUUGUGAUAAAUUGGCAGAAGGAAGAAGAUGAAGUAGUUCUGCUAGCAAAGACUCUCAAUCAGGCUACUCGUCUUGUAAAUGUAAGUAUACUGCCCCUCACAUGUUUAGUCAUCCAAUGAAUUUACUAAGUUGAAUACGAUAUUGUGCAGAGAAUCCACCUUCAGAACGAGGCUAAAACCGCUACCCUUGAGAAGCUGGUUCCUCAUCUUGGCACUUUGGAAGAAACCAGAGCAAAACUCUAUGAAACCAAAGAAUAAGCCAGGAAGACAGAACAUGAACUCAGGAAUCGGAUUGUCGAGUUCCAGGAUACCAACUUCGAAUUGAGCGGCUCCUCCAAAGGUUAAUGUUAUUCCUGCUUGGCUUUCCAUAUUCAAUUCCAGCAGUUGUAUAAUUUUUCUGUGUCUAGCAGUCCAAGUUGCCAAAAUUGAAGAUUUGGAGAGACGAAUUAAAGCCUUAGAGAAUGACAAAGCUGCUCUGUCCAAGGAAAGAGAUCUUGUUGUCAAGGAAUUUGAAGGUAACUCUUUUGAUUCUUUGUGAAUGAAACUUGAUCAACUAUCAUUAUAUCUUGAAUCCUUGAAUGAUGUUAUAUGCAGAUCAUAUGGGGAAAACAAAGGCGCAAUUCGACUUGUUGAUAAACAAAGUUGAAAUUGCUGAGAAGGCUAGAGACGAAGUUGCUAAUAUUGCCACUCCUAUAAUCCAAGCCAUGUAUCAUUGCAACAGCGGCACAAGCUCCUUGGACGCCAUGGAAAUCUUUGAUAAGCUGGCAAUAUGGGAGCAAGCAUGGCCUUGGCAAUGAUAAAGUCUUUGUGAUGUGGACUAGGGUUCCCGAUCUUCUAAAAGGUUCUGAUAAACAACGAUUUGGGCAGAGUCGCGACACAAAUCGAUCCGGCUUCUUGAACGAACACGCUCUUGAGCCCCGCAAUCGCAGCACACCGUCACCUCUGGUUAUCACCCAUGUCAAAAAGUGGAUGACCUCGCCGAGAAGGCUAAUCCCUAUUUGCCAAUCGAAGAACACAAACAAGAACAAGGUAGAAUACACCAAAAUUGCAGAUGAAUGAUUAAGCUCACAAGUUGGGGUCUUACAAACCGAUCUAACGGUGAAAUUGUUCUCGACAGAAUAAUCUAAGCAAAACCCAAACACUAAAGAUGACAGGGGGUACUGAUAUAUAGAGUUUAGGGUCGUGCAACCAAUCCUUGACGCAACCCUGAUGGGUUCCAACACGAUACACGGCCCAAGGGCCCAAAUACGGUGACGCAGCACCAAGACAGAUUCCGGAUAUCAACUUGUUUGGUCAAUUUCCGUUUACACAGAAAGAAUUUGGAUGUGGGACCAAAAGCAUUGGAAAGGUUAUUUUGUUAGCUUUCCAUCCAUAUAAAGAACGCCCCAAUCCGAGCACGUAUGCGACUCGGGCGCCCCUUUUAGUGCAGACUAGUCCUGGAUUCCGAAUUGCACUCGAAGUCGACUUGGAGAAGAUCUUGGUUUGGUCCCAAUCAACUUCUUUGAUAUUCCAUGCAUUCGUUAUGCUCGGCGUCUUUUCCUUCAUCCAAGUAAAGUACCUCGACAAACGAAAACACACAAAACUCAUUGUGUAGCAACGUUUGUUCAAAUAUAUAAGAAGUAAAUCUAAUGUAGAACAUAUGCACCUUUGGUUCAUUAAUACAUAAGGUAGUCAUGGUUAUAUCCAACUAGGCUAGUCGUGUCCUCAUCAUAGAGUAGAUUAGAAGAAGUCAGAGGAGUGCCAGAGUUGUCGGUAAUACUCUUCUUAUUUUCUGCUAUGUUAAUUACUCUAAUUAUAAUAGAAAUAUCUUUUGAGUAAUUUAGUUUUGCUUGGUGAGAUUUAUUUCUUGGUUAGUUCCUAAUUAGCAUACGGGAUCAUCGUUCACUAUAAUCCACUAAAAUAUAGGGAUUGCUUUAGUGCGUAGCUAACAUUCAAGUAUGUUAUUAACUGCUUAGACGCAGUGUCUCGGUAGUUGAUUUCCGGUGUUUUCUCCGCAUCCCACAGUAGGUAUGAGGUGGUGACAACCCUCAAGAUCACUGAAGUUCUUCCUGUCCGGGUGCGUAGUAAAGCGAUAUCUGGGAGCAGCGAGCUAACCAGUGCCCAAAGUAUCGCGUUAGGAUUAAAGUUAAGCUUUCCAUAGAUACUGUUUCUCACCGGUGAAUCCUUAGCCUAUCUUUAUGAUGAACCCUGAGCUGUUGUUGGCCCGAUCUUUCGGUGAGUUGUAGGUAACUACGAUUUGGGAGAAACAUGACGAUCUGACUACAACCGUAUGAGAUGUUGUGUUGCGCCUUAGUGAUCGAUACACCUCUCCGUGGGUUGUUGAUCUUGCCGAUGCAGAUCAACCUUAUUCCUACAAGCAAAUUGAAGAAACAAGCAAGAACAAGAUAAAAGCAAUCUGAAUUGCAAAUAGGAAUGAAUACACACGAUAAGUUGGGGUUUUGAAUACAAGCAGACAGACGGUCUAGUCGACACGAGCGCUGCAAGGAAGUAGCAAUGGCUAAACUUUCAUCUAAACAAAACCCGACUAACCUUGGAGGGAUUACUAGCUAUUUAAGGGAUGGAGGAGAUCAGAAGGGUGUCCUCCCUCUGUUUGGGGCGCAGCCCCCCUUGGGCCCCACUUGGGCCGGGGUCCCAAACAAAGUUACAAGCCCAAAGGCCCAUGACUAGCGAUGCAGCACCUUGUUUCUUCAUUUGUGGAUGACUGGGAUGGAAUUUGGAUAUGAGGCCAGAUCUGCUGGAAAGAGGACUCCGAGAGCUUUCUACCAAGUACUCACGGGUCAAAAACGGAGGUUGUAUGCAGAUUCGGCGGCCGAUUGAAUUUAGCAGUGUAGUAGGUGGCCGAAUCGGAUUCCAGCACUUGGAGGACUUGAUCUUGAUGUUAUCUUGUUCUUCCAUGAUGUGAGCAAUGGUUGUAUCCGUAGUAGCCAUGGUCACAUCAUCCUCCCCUUCUUCACGGAAAACCGUCCUCGAUUUUUCUAUACGGUGCUCGUCACAUAGUCCAUUCAAAAUAACCUGUUUCAUCCAAUCAAAACUAGAGAAACUCGAUGUUGUGUGAGUAGCAAUAACAUGUUUCUCAAAAUCCGAACAACUGAAAUCUCUAUGCACCAAAUAUAUUCCUCUAUCAUUAUAUUUGCCAAAGAUAUGAAAAAUAGCAUUAGUUGGACAUGGCAAAUCAGACUAAGCAACUAAUUUCUCCUCCAAAUUAUUGAGCUCACAAAAAUCAUCAAAUUGAACAUAGCUAAAAGUAUUUAAAGAAGUUAUCAAUUUACGUUCCUCAACAUCAUUAGCAAUGUGAACAUCAUGCUUAAAAUCAGCACACAAUGAAACACUAGAAAUAGCAUGUUCAUUCACUAGUUGUGGUAGGGAUAUAAGUGAAGCAUUAUUACACAACUCUUCUUUAUCACAAGGAAUAGCAAGUAAAUCAACUUGUGACAAAGGCAAAUCAAAAGUAGUUUCCACCAAAAUUUGCUCUAGAUUAGCAUGGAUAGUGGACAAAUGUGACUCAUCAGAAGCACACUCACCUUGAGUAAUAUCAGCACCAUUUAAUUUACCUUUUAUGCCCUCUUCAGAUAAUGUAGGUGCAUCAGUCUUCUCUUCUUCCUUCGUGAGCGAUGGAGAUGACAUCUCGAGCAUAUCGCUCUUCUCCUCAUGGUGAAUGUUCUGAGCUCCCUACAAAAUGUCAGUAAUAUGAGGCACAAGCAUAGCUUGUUUCUCCCUUGGGUUCUUUAAAAUAUUGCUCUCAACGCUGCAAGAAAGCAUGAACAAGUGGCCUAUAUGAUUAUAUGUCACAUUUAUAAGCCCAGCCUGAAUAUCAGAAUUAAGCCCUCUAAAAAAUCUAGUCAUUGUGUUCUCAUUGCUUUCUUUUAAACCACUAUAAGUGAUACAAAUUUUAAAGUUAUGAAAGUACUCCUGCACGGUUUUGUCACCUUGUUUUAGAUGUUCUAAUUUCUCAACGAGAGUACGUUUAUAAUAUGAAAACACAAAAUUUUUCCUCAUCAUUGUUUUGCAUUCAUCCCAAGUUUCAAGCUUGUUGCCAACAAUGUACCACCAAAAAGAUGCAGAACCGGUACAUUUAUUACUAGCAACCUUAAUCAUUUGAGCAUUAGAGAAAUCAUACUCAUCAAAUUGUUUGUUUACUGCUAGCUCCCAAUUAACAUAAGCGGCGGAAUCAUACUUACCAUCAAAAACUGGCAAUUUAGAUUCUACCAUUGCAAGAUCAUUAUCAUGUACCUCAUAUGCAAUGCGUGAAGAAGUCGCUAUAUCUCGUUGAUGGUGAAGAAGUCGAGGUUGAGCAUGACCAUCUCGUUUCCCCUUGUGUAAUCCUGCCAUGGUUAGUAGCAAACAAGAAACAUACACAAGAAUAUGCACGCUCCUAUCAACUACUAGGUAGUGGCAGCUGAAAUAUUACACAUACUCAAGCUUUUCACCAAGCUCUUAUAAGUUCUUACCAAAGCAAGCGGAAUGAUAAUGUACACUGACUCAACCAAGCACCCCAAUGGAGUUUGGAUGUAUCGAUGCCUUGGCAAACACUUGCUGUACGGCUGCAAUCAAAUCUGUGGAGCUCUGGGUAGGCUUAAAUAUGUAGCAAAGCAAUAGCAAAUGCUCAAAUCAGAGAAUACAAAGUUGAAUAAUUGUUCAAAGUCAAGUACCGUGCUGGUCCUAGGCUAGAACGUACUAGAGACGCGAGCCUAGACACAAACGAUACCACAAGAUAGCACUAGAAACAACUCAAGCAUGCUCUGAUAUAUAAAAGAAAUCUCAAUGAUUCAACUGAUUUUUCACUUUUCUUUCUUUCUUUUCUUUUUCUUCUUUAUUUUUCUUUAUUUUCUUUAUUUUUCCUUUCUCUUUUUUUUGGGGCGGCUUUUGUUUUCUCUCUUUUUUUUAGCACCUUUCUGCCUUUUUUUUCUCUUUUUUUUUGAUUUUUUACCAAAAACCGACUCAAGGACCUCAAUGUAAGGUCAAAGGGACUCAAAUGUAAAUAUGAAAAUUACAGGGACUCAACUGUAGAAGUCCAAACCAAAAUUAAAAAUUAUACAAAAAUGGAAUGCUCAAGUUAUGUCGGUUCCGUUUUUGCAAACGGAUCUUGAAUCGACACCAAAAUAAAAUUUCAUCGAAGUUUUUAACCAACUCGGACAGAAACAAUCAUGAGGGAGUGUGAGUCGGACUCACAAGUCUCGGCUACGAGAUGACGCAAGGGAAGGAAUCCCACUCGGCCUUGGUUUGGAAAGGUACCAGGUGAUAAAUAGAAACAGACUUGGCACUAAAUAUAAACCAAACCAGUCAAUCUAAUCUAAUCUUCUCCUUUCAUCUUUCUCACGCGCGCAUGCACAGGCGCACCAUCACGGCACACACCAUCACGGCACAACCACCAAACAGAAGCUAUGCAACUCAAGAACUCAAAUACUAACCAACAGAAACUUCUGAAAACUACGAAAAUAGAACUGUGGCAGCGAGCCGAUUCUGUUUUCGUAGGUCCCGACAACAACAGAGACACGGGGGCGGCGAUGACUGUGGUACAAAACGUGACCAGAACUCGAAACUCUAAACGAACUAGACGCUAAUACCAGCAACACGACUCGACAAUGCAACACAAAACUCAACAACGUAAAAACUGAAAAGAACAAUGCAAAGGCACAAAGAUGGCUAGGUAUAGGAUACAAUUUUUUUUGUUGGGAAAUUUUCUGGUUAUAGGUAGAUAAAAACUCACCGAGCAACGAAAGCUCUGAUACCACCUGAUGAACCCUGAGUUCCCCUCGACACUCAAGGCUAUUGUUGGCCCGAUCUUUCGGUGAGUUGUAGGUAACUAUGAUUUGGGAGAAACGUUGACGAUCCGGCUACAACCGUACGAGACGUUGUGUUGCGCCUUAGUGAUCGAUACACCUCUCCGUGGGUUGUUGAUCUUGCCGAUGCAGAUCAACCUUAUUCUUGCAAGCAAAUCGAAGAAACAAGCAAGAACAAGAUAAAAGCAAUCUGAAUUGCAAAUAGGAAUGAAUACACACGAUAAGUUGGGGUUUCGAAUAAAAGCAGACGGACGGUCUAGCCGACACACACGCUGCAAGGAAGUAGCAAUGGCUAAACUUUCAUCUAAACAAAACCCGACUAACCUUGGAGGGGUUACUAGCUAUUUAAGGGAUGGAGGAGGUCAGAAGGGCGUCCUCCCUCUGUUUGGGGCGCAGCCCCCCUUGGGCCCCACUUGGGCCGGGGUCCCAAACAAAGUUACAAGCCCAAAGGCCCAUGACUGGUGAUGCAACACCUUGUUUCUUCAUUUGUGGACGACUGGGAUGGAAUUUGGAGUUGAGGCCGGAUCCGCUGGAAAGAGGACUCCAAGAGCUUUCCACCAAGUACUCACGGGUCAAAAACGGAGGUUGUAUGCAGAUUCGGCGGCUGAUUGAAUUCAGCAAUGUAGUAGGUGGCCGAAUCGGAUUCUAGCACUUGGAGGACUUGAUCUUGAUGUCAUCUUGUUCAUCCAUGAUGUGAGCAAUGGUUGUAUCUGUAGUAGCCAUGGUCACAUCACUUUAGCUUCGUGUCCUUGGACGAACUUGGUGAAGAGCUGACACACAUGUUCCUUGUGGAAAUCGAACCUGAGAAUACUCCCGGGUGAAGUACUACAUCGGUAUAUUCCGUGCACUUGCGAAUUUUAUCUGUGAGGAUAAGAAUUACCAACAACCCUCUUUUGUAACUACUCUAGAUUAGCAUCUUUACUCAUGAUACAAAGUAAUAUUGCCUAGCUAUACUAAACUAGCCGAAUUUAUAGAAAAUAAGUACAAAACCAUCCUUAGAGACACUAAUGUAAUCAUAGCUAGAAAGAUCUAACCCCGAUAAGCAUUGAAUAUUCCCAUGUUGCCAUUCAAUUGAAGCAUCGGCCAUUGCAACCUCAGACGAUAUAUCCACUUGAAAAAUCUCAAUAUCAUCGCCGUCCCAUUGAAUUAAACAUUGCUGCAAGGUGGAGGGAACACAACAACUGGCAUGAAUCCAACAACGACCCAGAAUAACACUAUAGUUACCUUGCACAUCGACGAUGAAGAAAGCAGUUGGCAACGUCUUGUUCCCCCUGGUAAGCUCCACUGAAAAGAUACCUUUCGCCUCCAUUGGUUCACCAUUAAAGCUGUUGAGAGUCAUGUUGGUCUUCUUCAACUCAUCAUCUCCACGCCCAACUUCUUCAAUAACGAAUACGACAUCAAAUUCAUGGCGGCACCACCAUCCACUAACAUACAAGAGAUCGGCUUCCCAUCAAUAUGACCAUUAAGAUAAAGAGACUUCAUAUGACGAUUAGAUUCAUCGGCCUUCUCAAAAACCGCAUCUCUUGGACCUAGUGAAAGUUGAGCAACUUCAACCUCAUCCAUAGCACAAAACUCCAUAGGUAACAUACACACCAUGUUGAUGUCCAUGUCUUCCUUUGGCAGCAAAUCAUCCUUGACAACCCGUUGUUCAUCCUUCUCUACUUGCUUUUCCUUCUCCGCUUGAACAACAACCGGCUCCUCAAUCUCUAUAGGCUUAGGCAUCCACUCCUUCAUUGGCGGCGGUCGCAACUCAUUGAAUCUUCUAUCUGUCUACUCUUCGGCUUCUCUCUCUAUUAAUUCUUGAGCCCGAAGACGUUGCAACCUUCUCUUUUGUGUAGCCGUUAAAUUAUUAGGCAUCCACCUUGAUUUUGGCUCUGCUCCAGGAGGAAUAUAAUGCCCCCCUAUUGAUUUUGCUUGAAGACAACGAAGCCCCUGAACUACCCCUUGCAAAUCUCUUAUCAAACCAGCAUUGCAGCCUAGUCGGACCGGCUAGACGGCCCAGAUAGACCAGCAUGCGGCCGUCGGUCAGACCGGCCAGUAGGCCCGGUCAAACCGGCAUUAAGGCUUCGGUCAAACCGGCCACCUGCGCACAGCUGGUCUCGGCUUCGAUUUCAUCGAUUGGAAUCACCUUGGCUCCAUCUUCAGAAGGUAUUGGCACAUCAUGAGACUCCACUUUAAUAGUAAUCACCUUGAAGUCCUCGCCUCCACCUUGACACGCUUUUCUUCCCUGCUUCCUUCAUCAACCCGAUUUCUAGAUGGAAACCGGCAUUUGUUUGGUGAAGACAAACGCUCAUGUGCUGACCUUCUUGGUUCUCCCCAACUUUGAUGAAAUUGCAUAGGAGGCAUAUGAUCAUACAUUGGUGGUGAUGUCCAAAUGGCAUGAAGUAAGGAAAAGGAUAACCCGGCAGUGGCAUUGGACAAGGUCCCCAUGGCAUGACUUGAGGAUGAUGAGUAAAAGGCGGCUCCAAUGGUCUUGGUGAAUGACCAAAUCGCUCCCUAGAAGGUGAUCUUGCUUUUUUGCCCUUGUUACAACUUUGUUCAACACUUUUCUUCUCAUACUUGUUCAAGAGCAUAUCAAAAGACACCUUGGCUUCCGUGGAGUCUUAGAGCUUGAAGCUUCAUCCUUAUUCUCCUUCCAUACACCAACUUCUUGAUUUUUGUUGGCACAAUCAUCUUCGAUCUAGGCUCUCCAACUACUACUUCCUUCCCCUUAGUAGAUACGGCUUGCUCCGGCCGAAUCAACACUUUCUUGUCAUUGAAAUCAAUAGUAUUACAAGAAAAGAAUCAUGAUAUAGCUUCAUCUUGGAGCCCUCAGUAAAUUUCAAUCAUCCUUCCUCUAUGGCCAAUUGAACCUGUCGUCGAAACACAUUGCAAUCAUUAGUAGAAUGAGAAUGAGAAUCAUGCCACUUACAAUAAGCACGGCGUUUCAAAUCUUCUUGAGAUGGAAUGACAUGGCCUUUAGGUAAUCUAAUUUGUUUUUCUUGCAAAAGAUAAUCAAAAAUCUUAUCACACUUGGCCACAUCAAAGCUAUACUUAACCUCACUUUGCCGAUCUUUACGAGGAGUCGGCAUUAAGUAGAACAUAUAAAUGGCUUAUUCUUGUUAGUCCAUGACCACUCGGCAAUAUAUAUAUCAUGAUCACCAUCAUCAUUAUCAGAAUCACUAUACUCAGGGCAAUCAACAAUACUAGCAUUAGGCUUUUUGUCAUUGGACCUAAAAAAUUUCUUACUCUCCCUAACCCGGCUUUCUUGAGCUAGAGCUUUUUGCAUGAGGUGACUAACAUCAAGCAAUUGUUGGCCAUCUAAUAUUUCUAUAAUAGGAGCAAGUAAACCAUUAAAAGCAAGAUUAGCCAAAUCUCUAUCAAUUAUAUUCAAACUAAAACACCGGUUUCUAACAUCCCUAAACCUUUUAAUGUAAUCAAUUACAGAUUCAUUAUACUUUUGUCUAACCGAUGUCAAAUGACAUAAUCUAAGCUCAGUUUUACCAGUGUAAAAGUAAUCAUGGAAUUUUUGUUCUAAUUGAGCCCAAGUAUGAAUAGAAUUUACCGGUAAAGAAGUAAACCAUGUAAAAGCAGUACCAGAUAAAGAUAAAGAAAACAAGCGUAAUUUAAAAGCAUCCCUGUUACUAGCCUCACCCCAUUGUGCUGAGAAUUGGCCUAUAUAUUCCCAUGUAGUCAUAUUAUCCUUACCACUAAACUUAGUAAACUCAGGAACCCUAAAACCACGAGGAUAUGGGAUAUUAUCAAAAUAAUCAGGAUACGGCUUUUGAUAAACCCUAGUGCGAUUCCUUGGCUCAAUUCCAAAGGCUUCUCUAAUCAUGUUCCUAAGACGUUCCUCCAUAUUUUCAGGCGUUGGUGGGUUUGGUGGCCUAAUAAGUGGUGCGGUGGCACAAUAUUGUUAUAUUGGCCAUACCUAACAUCUUCAGGAUAUCCCCUAUUAGAAUCAUUGUAAGCAUUAGGUAUAUGUGGGGGAACUUGAGGAUUAAUAGUAGCUACACGAGGAUCAUGUAAAAAAAUAUGAUAUAAAAUAGGAUCAACUUCCUGUACUGGAAGAAUUGUGUAGGUCUGACUGGCCCAGAGCCCGGUCUUACCGAUAGACAGAGGUGUAGUCGGACCGGCCUGACCAGUAUAGGGGGUGCGGUCUGACCGGCCAUAGGGCUGCCGGUCAGACCGUGAGGCAGUGCAGUUGGACCGGCCAACACCGGUGUAGGAACCGCCGGUCAGACCGGCGGGGAAGUUAGGGUUUUCUCCCCUAGUCAGUUGCAUGGUCGCCCCAUCGGUUUUACUAAAUAUUUGGUGAACAGGACCUUGACUAGUACUUGCAACAGAAUUAGGCGGCAAAUCGGUCAUAUUAGAACUGAAUUUGCAACUCAUAAAAGCAUCAAUUCGCUUAUCAAAAUAAGAACUCAUAUCAUGCUCAAGUUUAUUAUUAAAAGUAGUAUUAAUAGUCUAAUCUAUGGAACUUGCUACGAGCUUUUGAAGUGGAAGAGAUACCUCAUCACCACUUACCACAUUGAUGGUGUUUUUCGAUGUGAAACUGGUCUGACGAAUAGCUCCUUGACGAGUCUUGAUAAAGCACCUUGCCAAAAGCGCCUCUUGCGUCUCCUUGAGGUGUUGUUCAAUCUCCCGACAUUGCUCCUCAUCUAGAUCCUCCAAUGAGAUGGGGAGGACAUUAGAUGGAUCAACCUCCGGCUUGGUCAUGAUGAAGACGUCCCCAGCGGAGUCGCCAAAAAUUGUGUUGGCAACUUUUUUGGCAAGUAGACAAGCACGAUCGUGACACCUAAACGCCUUGCGGUGAUAUAGAGUCUCCAACCACCCCAAUCUAGCAAAAAGCUAGACCAAAAUGGGUUUUGAUAGAUUAAACCGGCUAGCUGAGCCGAUUUAGAUAGAACGAUGGAUAACUACCCGUCUCAUGGGCAAAUGGAAGGUUUUCAGGACAAACCUACAGAGGAAUUCGUACUCUCGCAACGAAGGCGGACGAUUUAUGACACAAAUUGACAAAGAUGGAUGAACUAAAACUAGGCUAUAUGAAAAGUAGAAGUAAUAUUGAAAACAACGAUUCGAUUGAUUGUGUAGAUUGUAUGUUACAUGGUUUCAAAUGGCCUUAUCCCUUAUAUAGGGGUUGGUCUUGCCCUUUACAGGCCCUCCUCCAUGUCCAACUCGAGAUCAAAACCAAAGGAAAACCAAAACAUAGCCUGUCUCAGACUCCGCCGGUCUGACCGGCCACAUGCCGCUAGUCUAAACAGCCCUCAGGACGCGUUCUGACCUGUCCUGUGGAGGAAACCGACAGAUUUCCCAAAUCUUAGCAAUUUUCCAUAUUUUGAUGGGUUAAUUUGAUCCAUCCCACUAUAAAUAUGUCAAAUUAAAAAAAUAUCAUUAAUAUUUGCAAUAUCGGCUGAAUGCCACUGAAAUUUUCUAAAAUUCGAUUCGUGCCACUGCCGUCUACUUGUCAUCGCCAUCACGUUCUCGUCAUCAUGCUGCUUCUUCCUUCUUUCCUUUUCUUCUUCUCCCCGGUUGGCGUGGAGGGACGGUGCGCUGUCAGUGUAAAGGGACAACGCGGCUGCGAGGUCUGGUUGGCAGAGCAACAUCCGGUGGGCUCUCCUUGUACUGCAUCAGCCGCGCCUCCCGCUCCAACCCCUUGCUCACUACUAGCAUCGGCUGAGACCUUCACAGUCGAAAAGAUAAUCUUCUCUUGAAUUAGAUUACUCCAAAGCCGAGUGCUUCAAUCAUCUUUGCCAUGGUCUCACGAGUACUUUUUACCAAAUCAGAAGACUGUGGAGGGCUGAAAAAUAAUUAAAUAUAAACUUAGGUGCAUCGACUAGAUGCACCUAAUAGGUGUAGCCCCCAACUAUGUGGUUAGUUGAACAAACUGAGCAUAUAGUCAAGGAGUAAAUAAUCCAACCAACUGAGUGGUUUUGAUAAUUAUAGUCAACCGAGUGACUUGAUAUCAAUAUAUAGUAUAUGCGGUGUGAAUCUCCGAAUAACAUGAUCCGAGUGAUAUACCGACUGCUUUGUAAAAUAUGAUGCGUGCAUCAUUGAAAAUUCACAUAGCAAAACAGCUAUAAAGAAGCUUAUAUGCUGUGAAUAAAGAAAUUUCAAAAGUAUUGGACACACACCAUGCGCACAUUGCUUUAACAGAUGUGCUUAAGUCCCUAAAAGACACAUGGUUUCACUACACCUGGAAAUAUACGGCAUAUGUGGUGUAAAAUUCGAGUAAAUAAACUCAUAAAGCAUUUACCAACCGCCUAGAAAAAGACCAAAAUAUAUAAUUAGCCUAAGCCAUAAUAUUGGUCAAUAAAAAUGCACACAUACGUGGCAAAAAACAAUGAUAUUGUGUCCAAUCAAUUGCUUUACAAACCCAAACAGCGCUUUGACUAUAUAAAAAAGUCAGAGGGGCAGCAAUGAAAAACUUCACUAUUCGGCACCUUUUAAAAUGCAUUAUACCAACUCCUAAAAAAUUGAGUAACUACGGUAUAAAAGGAUUUUGAGGUAUUGGGCACAUAAUCACGCACACUUUUGCCUAAGCAAAAAAUGCCUAAGUCCCUAAAAGAACGUGACAUGCCACACCUAAAAAUAUAGGUUGCAGACAUAUUAGGCCUAGACCUCAAAUAUGUCUACCGAUACCCUUAAAAUAUGAAGAAAUAGAGCACGCCAAUUAAUAUGAUCCCGAGUGAUAAAUUUCCCGGUUGAUGUAGAUCGAGUGUAACUCAUAUGAGUGGCUUCUAAUUUGAGUAAUUCUCCCUCAUGGGUUGUACCAAAGUAGAUGUGAUAAUUGAAUCCCGACUGGCACAAGUACUUAGGUGAUAGCCCUCACGGGAAAUAAUAAAUGAUUCAGUCUUUGAGCGUAGGAAAUAGUCUCAGGAACAUGAAUUCACGUUGCAUGUAUCCGUGACAAGUCCAAAUUGAAGGUAUGAUCCUUGUGUUUGAGAUAAUAAGCCACCGAGGAUGUAGCUUGUCCUUCUGUUGUAGUCAAAAUUGUCCAUUGAAGGCAACUGACACAGUUGGCAUGGAGACGAAAUGACCAACAUGAAGAUGAUAUCACCCGUCAAAGCUGACGAAGAUGUUACUGGUGGUAAAGACAAUGACACCAAUUAAAGGUGAUGAAGUCGCAUAACCAUGGAGGCGACGAAACCAGUCGGCAGCAGACAAGUCAGUCAGCAGUAAAGACGAAGGCGCCCAGCAACAGCAACAGAGUUGUGCAGCCAUGGCAGCGAAAUAAUCAGUCGAUAACAAACGAGGCGCCCGGUGAAGAAGACGAAGACGCCCAUCAGUUAAGGCAUAAUAAGUCAGCCGUGAAAGCGAAGACACCAUGGGCAACGGCGGAGUCAAGCCGAUGGUGAAAAUGUAGACGCUUAUCAAUGGCAAUGGCGAAAUCCAUGAAUCAUGCAAAAGAAGAAAACAAUUGCCGACAGCAAACGCAAUCGGCGAUAAUGACAAUUGGUGGCAACGGAGACAGCCAGUUAUGAUGACGAAGUUGCCCACCAACGGCAGCAGAGUAGGCAUAGCCGAAGAGGCUUGACAGGAUGUUUAUGAAGAUGACGAUGUCAAUGAUCCAGUCAAUAGCAGUGUAGCAGCCGAUGAUAACGGCAAGGUCAUCCUUCAGUAAAUGCGUAGUAGGCCAACUGUGAAAGCGAAAUAACAAGUGGACAAUGACGGAAGCAACCGAAGACAAAGACAUAGUCUCCCAAUAGCGACGGCGGAGACAUCAAAGCCGAUGAAUUAGAGGUACUGGUGAUGAUGUCAGAGACAGUAAUCCAGCAAACCGUUGAGAAGAUAUCAAAGCUCAAGUAGUUUCCUUGAUGCUAGCGUGUGCGUAAUGUAGAUUGAUGCAACGCCUCUUGAUUUAUCAAGAUGACGGUAGAACUUGGUGUUGUAGCUGUAGAAGAUCUUCACUUGGAGGAAAAUACUGUUGUUCAACUCAUUGAAUCUGAGUUGAUUGGUUGAUGACUCCAAACUCCCAGACAUUUAGAUUAAAUCUUGGACUUGAUACUUGAGAAACUUUGGAGAAGCCAAAAUUGCCGGUGAAAUAAUUGUUGAUGCAUGCCGAGAUGUCGAGGUUCUUGUAGACGUGGUGAUCGGUGAAGCAGCAAAGCUUGCGAAGUAGAGGCAAUAGAGUUUGCCGGUGCCGAAGAUAAUAAAGAUGAAGUCACUCCACCAUGGUGACAGAGUUGCAUAGUCGUGAUGAAGUGAACACGAGUCAGCGGCAACAGAAGCAAACCAAUAGCGAAGACGCGUAGUUGUGAAGAUAAAAACACCAGUCAACGACAGCAUAACCAGUCGGCGACGGAAGAAGUAAAAUGAUGACGAAAAUGAAAACGUCCUUGAACGGCGGCAAAAUAGGCCAGCCGUGAGAGUGAAGACACCAUGGGCGGCGGCGAAGGCAAACUGGCGAUGACGAUGACGCCUGUCAAUGAUGACGAAUACGCGCAGCCGUGGAGGCGAAAAAACCAGUCGGCGUCAGACAAGGCGGCCAACAAUGAAGACGAUGAUGUCCAUCAGUAGUGGUAGCGGUAUAAACCAGCCGUACAGGCGAGGGCACUAGUCAGCAGCAGAAGAGACGACCGGCGGUGAAGACGAUAAGGCCAAAUCAACACUGGCAGAAUCAUGCAGUCAUGGGAGUUAAGAAACCAGUCGGCAGCAGACGUAGGCAGCUUGCGUUGAAGAUGAUGAUGCCUAUUAGUGGUGGCGGCGAUGUGGCCAACUGUGAAGACGAUAGCACCAGUUGGCGUUAUACGAGGCGGUAGGUCGGUGAAGAUGUAGACGUCCAACAACGGUGGCAUAAUAGGCCAGCCAUGCAGGCGGAGACACCAGUCGGCGGCGGCGAAGGCAAGCCGGUGGUGAAGACGUAGACGCUCAACAACGGUGUUGUGACCAACCAAUCGUAUAGGCGAAAACACCAGUCGGCGACGAACGAGGCGGCCGGUCGGUGAAGACAACGAAGCCCAACAACGGCUGUAUAAUAAGCCAGCAGUGCAGGCGGAGACACCAGUCGGCGCCGGCGUAGGCAAGCCGGCGGUGAAGACGUAGACGCCCAACAACGGUGGUGUGACCAUCCAACCGUAAAGGCGGAGACACCAGUCUGCGACAUACGAAGCGGCCAGUCGGAGUAGAUGUAGACGCCCAACAACGUCGACAUAAUAGGCCAGCCGUGCAGGCAGACACACUAGUCGGCGGCGGUGAGGCGGCCGGUCGGUGAAGACGUAGACGCCCAACAACGGUGGUGUGACCAUCCAACCGUGAAGGCGGUGACACCAGUCGGCGACAGACGAAGCGUCCAGUCGGUGGAGAUGUAGACGCCCAUCAACGACGACAUAAUAGGCCAGCCGUGCAGGAUGAGACACCAGUCGGCGGCGGUGAGACGGGCGGUCGUUGAAGACGUAGACGCCCAACAACGGUGGUGUGACCAUGCAACCGUGAAGGCGGUGACACCAGUCGGCGAUAGACGAAGCGGCCAGUCAGUGGUGGAAGCAUAGACGCCCAACAAUGGUGGUGUGACCAACUAACCGUGUAGGCGAGGGCACCAGUCUGCGGCGGCGAAGGCAGCCGGUCAGUGAAGACAUAGACGCCCAUCAACGGCGGCAUAAUAGGCCAGCCGUGCAGGCAGAGACACCAGUCGGUGGCAGACGAGGCGGCCGUUCGGUGAAGACGUAGAUGCCCAUCAAAGGCGGUGUGACCAACCCAUCGUAUAGGCGAAAACACCUGUCGCCGGUGAAUGAGGCGGCUGGUCGUUGAAGACAACGACGCCCAACAACGGCGGCAUAAUAGGCCAGCUGUGCAGGCGGAGACACCUGUCGGCGGUGGCGAAGACAAGCCGGCAGUGAAGACGUAGACGCCCAACAACGAUGACCAACCAACCGUAUAUGCGAAGAGACACCAGUCGGCGCCGGCGAAGGCAAGCCGGUGGUGAUGUUCUGACUAAUCCAUUCCUGAAGCGUAGGAGAUAAGCGUUGAAAGACAUGAAUCCUAUUAUGCAUAUCUGGAUCUGGAUCCUGCAGAACAAACAUAUAGGAUGAGUAGUAUCUGAUGUAAAUAUAAUACUCGAGGAAAAUUCAACUAUUUUAAAAUGUUUAUAAAUAUGUAUUUCUCCUCUUGUCAAUUUUGAUUUCCCCGAGCGGAUGACUCCUUACGUUUAAACACUCUGCCCGACUAGUCAUAGCCCCCAAGCACUAGGAGUCGGCCUAGGCACUUCCCAAACAUGCAUACGAGUGGCAUGAGUUCGUCAUUAAUGGAACAAAGUUUCACGUAUCAGAGUUUACUACUCGGGUACUUUUGCAAUUGUUGAGAACAGAAAAUAAAUUAUACUUUUGUAAUUGUUAAGAGCAGAAAAUAAAUUAUCUUAUCUCUAUGCUUUUGAUUUCUUCCGAGUAAUACUUAGCACCUUGUGUUAUACACUCCAUCCAACGAGCCCCCGGGUGCUAGGAAUCGGCCCAAAGGCAACUAUCCAUCGACAACCAAGCGGAAAGCAUAGGGAUAUAGAGCUCCAUAACUCGAUAGGCACCUUUGUACUCGGAUUAUAUCGCAAGCAAUCAAGAUAAAUAUUAUGAAAAUUAUUAAAAAAAUAUGAUAUAGCAUCUGUAGCCCCCGACUCACUAGUCAACGGCGAACUAGUUGAUGUAGUGAGGCAGAGGAAAGAGAAAAUAUCAUAUAAAGAAAAUUAAUGAUGACUUAGCUUUUUCAUAUUCCCUCGGUGACAACAGAAAUAGCCGAUGUGGGAACGAAGUAGUCCAUCAAUGAUGAUGAAAACACUAACCGUGUAAGCAGCUGAGGCGACCGGCGGUGUUGAUAAAUAAAUGCCCAUCAAUGGUGGUGUGACCACCAACCGUGGAGGCGAACACACUAGUCGGCGGCGGCAAAGGCAAGCCAAUCGGUGAAGACGUGGACACCCAUGAACGGUGGUGCGACCAACCAACCGUGUAGGUGAGGACACCAGUCGGCGGCAGCGAAGGCAAGCCGGCGGUGAAGUCGUAGACGCCCAACAAAGGCGGCAUAAUAGGCCAGCCGUGUAGGCAGAGACACCAGUCAGUGGCGACGGAGGCAGGCCGGUCGGUGGGGAUGUGGAUGCCCAUGAAAGGUGGUGUGACCAACCAACCGUAUAGGCGAGGAUACCAGUCGGCGGCAGCAGAAUCAACCGGUCCGGAUACUUCAAAAUAGAACAAUUAACAGAUCAAUCUGUUUAGUACCAUAAGCAAAAUUAUUUAUAUAAGCUCGUGUAUAUAUGUUUGGAACAUAAAAGCAUGCUUAAUGAAUUAAUUGGUGCAUGAUUCCGGCGAGGUGUCCUGGAUGAUGUCGAUUGGUCAAUACAUGCAUGUGGAUGACUCAUGGUAGCUGGCGAUCUCGAUCGUGUGUGAGCUGUGAGCACUGCCUGUGGUUCCACGUUACUCCCGUGUCGGAUUACACCGGCAUCUGUACAUGGUGCAUGGGGGAACACGAGGUGUUGGGCAGACACACCGAGAUGGCAGCCAUUGAUCUUGUUCUCAGUCGGCAUACAAAAACAAGAGAGUAACAGAAAAUUAAUCUGCAGUUAUAAAACAAUCUAACUACUGAAACGGCAAAGCCAAAUGAUUUUGAAGAUUAAAUCAAUGAAAUCGCCGGGACUAAUCCCUUCGGCUGGAUUGAAUCCGAGACGAAAAGAACAUCCUCAAAUACGGCGAUGUCGGAGAUUGGCUUCAUCGCACUCGUCGAAACUCGACGCACCUCUAUCUCGGAGGAUAUGAUACCUGCGUCGUGUCACCAAAGCAUCCAUUUUGUCUCAGGAAACUACUGAAUAACUAGCUCAUCGAGAUUCAAGAACUAAUUGCUGCUAGAGAGUGCUGUUAAUAAUCUUGAGUUGCUUGCUUACGCUAUGAUUCAUGGAGUGGUCGGAGUAGAAGAGCUUGCGGCCGGUGAUGUCGAGCUCGGGCGGACCCGAUAGCCUUGAUGUCGUCCAUGGACCAGCGGUUUGUUCUAAGAUAUAGCUUUGUGUUGUUCUCUCUUCUAGCCGACCGUGGAGGAGGAGCUCAACGUGGCACGCGCCGCGAUACGACGUGCUGCAUGGCAACAUCACCGCCGCGGAUGCGGAGGUGAGGGUGAAGACGUCCGCUCCGCCAACUGGCUGGCGUUCUACGCGAGCCGGACUAUGCGCUCCUUUCGCAUGUCUACCGCAACCCGGCGGCGUUCUACUGGUAUGAUUAGCUUAGCAUCCGUCCACGGCGGUGGGGCCGGUGUCGUUUUUAUCGAUCACGAGCGUGCACCAUGGAUGCAUGAGUUACCUGGAGAUGAAUAAGCGGUUCAAGGUGUACAUGUACGACGAAGUCGAGCCACCGAUCCUGCAUGAGUGUCCGUCCAAACAUGUACACCAUCGAAGGCCGCUUCAUCGACGAACAACUCGACCUCAUGGCGCCGCCGUCACCGCUAGAGUGGCGUCCGCACGUGCGACCCUACACACGCCCAUACCUUCUUCUUGUCGUUCAGUGUUUCCUUCGUGUACUGCCCACUCUCCCAGGACCAUCCUUAUGUCCGCGUCGUCGUCGCUCACCACCCCUUCUGGAACCGAUCCGCCAGCGCCAACCACUACAUGCUCUCCAGUCACGAUGUUGGCGGCGCAGAGCGCGACCACACCUGUGACAUUCCGGCCUUGGGCUUAAUAUGAUUAAUAGAAUACUCAUACCAAUAAGUUGCAACUUAUUUUCCGGAAUCCGAUCUCCAAAGAACUCUGAGGUUAAGCGUGUUUGCCUAGAGCAAUUUUUCCCCAGUACACACGAGCUGUGCAGAAAAGACUAGUGUUGGUCUAUGAGGGCAAGACAAAGUGUGCUGAUUGGCCUAGAGCAAUUUCGGAAUGGUGGCGUGAUCCAGAGCUGUGCGACGAGGAGGAUGUGACGGCGAUGAUGGAAAAGUAAACGGCAGUAGCAUGGAUCGAAUUUUAGAAAAUUUCAGUGGCAUUCAGCCGAUAUCGCGAAUAGUAAUAGUAUUUUUUUAAUUUGACAUAUUUAUAAUGGCGUAGAUCAAACUAACCCUAUUUUAAUCCCAAGUGUCAAAAUAGGGUGUAAACAUUACCCAUAAUCUCUACAAGACGUGUGCGUGGGUGUUGAGUGUGACGUUUUCACGCGCUCGUCCUCUCGUCGGUGUUCCUCUCGGCUCGGCGGCACGGCCACAAGGGCGAAGCGGCUGGGUUUGGACGCGCAACCCCAAAAACGCCCAGGCCUUUGACAAUCUUCUGUAUGAUUUAAUGUGUACUGAUAUAUCUCUUUUUAUUUCCCAUACACAUGUAGCCAGCAAUGAUCUUUUUAGCCCUCUUCUCCUGUGUUAAUUCCAUAUUAAUUAGUGAAGUGAUCUUUUCACCUGUAGUAACAUUUCAAUAUUUUUUUCCCAAUAAAUAAACAUUUCAAUCAUUCUGUUAAUGCCUUAGCAUGUAAAAGAGCUCUCAUAUGGCGAGGCCCAACGUUCAAGUCCGUUAGUUUGUGAAAAGACUCGGGGUAAUUUCAAUCACUUACCACUACAUGGUAUUUUUAAGCCAUUGAAAUGUAAGUAAAAAUACUAGUUUGCAUUAUCCCUACAUUGUUAGCAUUGUCGGUAUCAUGCUAAAGACAUGCAUCUUCUUUUUUAAAGGACUAGCCUUUGAUAACUUAUACUGUAUCAACCUAUUUUACUCAGCUUUCUGCCAACAAUACUCUCUAACUUUCUCGAUUUUUCUCCCCACUGCAAUGCACGGUUAUAAUUGCUAGUAUAAUAAUAAAUACAUAAUUGAGUUAAAAGUUGUAAAAUAUAAGUUGAAAGAUUCAAAAAACUGAGUAGAACAGUUUCAUAAUUUAAGUUGAAAGUUUUAUAUUUUAAAUAAAAUAAUAAAAAGAGAUGAUUUAAAAGUUUUUAAAUAUGAGUUGAAAGUUUAAAAUUUUAAGUUGAAAGCUACACAAAUUAGAAUCGAGUUAGAAAGUUUCAAAGAAUAUUGAAAUCGAUGCAUGUUUCCAAUUUGGGUAGAGUUUUAGGGAGUUAUGUUUUAAAAAAGUUUGAGUUAAAAGCUUUAAAAUUUAAAUCUAUUCGAAACCACUCAAAGGAAACAUAGAAUUGCUAAGAAAUAACCAUAUUCAGAGUCAUUCACCUGCUGUCCUUGUAUAUUUGGAAGUGUUCGCUAGAAGUUGAAGUGACUCUAGCAGGUACAAUAGCAUACUAUAAGCUAGCUAUAAACAUAUUUUUACGAGAUAAGAGAAGAGAAAGAAGAGCAGUGGGCUACAGAUUUGCCAGCUGCAGCACGGACGCCAAGACGCAAUGUGCGUAUGACAGGUGGGACCAUAUAUUAAUAGUGUAGUAUACACUGGUGGAGAAGUGGUUUUUACUUCCGAUUGGUAGCCCCCUCGCCGGCCGCCGGCACGCCGCCGCGCCGGCCGCCACCUGCAACGCAGCCACGCCGCAAGUAGGCCGUCGCCCGGCCCUCCACCAGCCCUCUGCUAGCCGGCCACGCCGCCGCCUCGUGCAGAUCGAGAAGUGGAGAGGAGGGGGGAGGGGGAGGAGGAGAGGAAGAGAUAGGGUGAGUAAGGAGAGGAGGAGAGGACUUAAAAGGAGAGGAGGAGAUAGAACUGGAAGGAAGAUCCUCGAUCCGAUCUGCUCCCAUGCCUCGAUCUCCGCGCAUGCCGAUCUUUUAUUCCGGUUGGUGUUAUCAACUGGCACUACAAAUUGAUCUUUAGUACCGGUUGGUAACACCAACCGGGACUAAAGAAAAUAUAGGGGUCUGACACCGCCUGUCCUCUUUUAAACCGCGACUAAAAAUGAAAAGUACCCUUGAGCUUUUCAAUACAACCGGUACUAUUGUGAAAUUUGGUUGACUGACCAAAGAUGGUUUUUCCAGUAGUGAUAUGUUUCUAAAUAAUGGCUAUUAAAUUAACUAUAGAUGAUUUGGAGCUAGUAGUUGCCUAUACUACUAAACUUGCUCCAAAUCAUCUAUAACCAAUGUAAUGGCUAAUUCAUACAAUAGUUGCUUACUAUACUAUUAAUACCUGGUCCCACCAGUCAUACACACAUUACGUCUUAUUGUCCAUGCUGCAGCUGGCUAUAUAUUUGUAGCCCCGCUGCUUUUCUCUCUUUUACUUUUAUCUCUUUAAAAUAUAUUUAUAGCUUGCUUAUAGCCUAUACCUACUCUAAUCUGGCCCGACGCGUAUCGGAAUCGGAUACGAUUCUGCCUCUGAUUCACCUCCGUGUCGGAUACUUUUAUGAUUCUCUACCCGUGCCAUUAGAGCAAGGAUAAUAGUGGGCUAUAAGCAAGCUAUAUGCUUAUGUGGAAGAGAGAGAUAAACAAAAGUGGGGAGUGUUGGCUCUCAUGCAAGAGCUAACUGCACACAAACUCCAAGAAAUAUGCAUUAAAUUCAUGGUGAGAGAAAGAGAGAGGAUGAAGAAAAUAAAGAUAAACUUAUAGCCAACCUACUAUACAUGUUAGCUUUAACAUUGACUAAUAGUAAGUAGUGAGCUCUACUAUUAAACUUGCUCUUAUAUAUUGGUGGAAACUGGGAAAGGUGGGCGGCACAGACAUCAUCGAUUGCCAGUCAUGGCUGGGUCGUCGUCGUCGUCCAAGCAAGAUCGUGCCCUGCAGGCCAAAAACCUCGCCGAGAGGUGCUUCCUCGCUGGCGACGUAGCUGGAGCGAAGCGAUGGUGUCAGAACGCGCUGAAGCUGGACCCGGACCUCCCCGGCGUCGCGCAGGCCGCGGCCGCCUACAACGUGCACUCCGCCGCGGCGCUCAAGGCCAUCGGGGUCGCCGGCUGCGGGCCCGACUGGUACGCCAUGCUCGGCCUGCCCCAGCCGCGCUCCGACCUGGUCACCCACCACGACGCCGUCAAGAAGCAGUACCGGAAGCUGUGCCUCCUGGUGCACCCCGACAAGAACACCUCCGCCGCCGCCGACGGUGCGUUCAAGCUCGUCCAGACAGCCUGGGACGUGCUGUCGACCAGGCAUCCCCCGCCGGGGGCCACCGCCGCCGCCGCCUCGGUGUGUACGCUUCCGAUGCGGGCAGAAGACCUGUUUCGUACCAAGCCUACAGCCGCCGCGCCGGCGACGCCACCGGCGGCCAAGAGGCCUCCUGAACCGCCACCGAAGACGACGCAGAGGCAACAACCACCAGGUCCUCCGCCAAAGCCGCAACCGAGCGCACCGAAGCGACCUCAGGUCGUCCAGAUGCGUCGGCCUGCUCCGGCAAAACAACAGCGGCCGACGAUUCUGCCGCCGCCACCGGUAGUGAAGCGACCAUCACCGACCAGGGGAAAAUGCCAGUAUUGCGGCGCGGCAAUCUCCAAAUCUUUCCGCUGCAUGAGCUGCCACCGGAGCCCAAUGGACAACAAGCCGGGCUAUUCCGACAAUGACGAAUACGACGACUAUUACGCCAAAAAAAAUAUGGAAUACGAUGACUACUACUACCACGACGACAGAUGAAAUCUGACGAUGAGUACAGCAGGGUUACGAGUAUCAUAUAUGAUGAGUAGAAAAUUAGGUAUGUGGCUCAAGAUUUCAAUUCCUGGGCUUAUUUAUUGUGCCUUUAAUUAGAUUUUUUACUCUUCUUUCUCCAAAGAGUACUUUUGAACCGAAUUCUUUCUCGGAAGAGUUUCAUAUUACAACUUCCAGUAUCACCAUUGUAAUUGUCCCCGUUGUAAAGAUUUUUUUUUUCUUAUGACAGGCCUGGUAAGUAAGAUACAGUCAGCCUAAAAGUUAUUUCAUAUACAUGAAAUCCUCGUGAAAUCUUUACCUAUUAUAAAAAAUAGAGAUGAUUCUCACUACACCAGAUCACCCUACAUGUGACGGUGACAUUUGACGGUUAUGGCCUUGGUCACUGAAUAAAGAUCGCUGGUGACUCCAAUCACCUUUGACGGGUGGCAGACCGUCAGAAAUGAGCAUCACCUCUGAUGGUCCUGCACUUUCUGGGCCGUCACAGGCGAGGGCCCCCCUCAAGUCACUCAUGGUUGCAACCCGUCACAGGUGACACAUCUUUGACGGGUCCGAAGUUGAUGGCCCGUCACAGAUGAUCACAUGUAUGUAUCUGCAUUGAAGCCCAUCACAAGUGACUCACCUUUGACGGAUUGAUUUAGCUAGCCAUCACAGCUGAUGCCAACUGUGACGGCCUUUGCUUACGACCCGUCAGUGAUGAGCUAAUUUUGAAAAUAAAUUAAUUUCAAAAUAUUGGCUAGCCUCAGGAUUUGCUAGCCACGCCCUCUGAAAAAACAGAACCAUCACAGAAUCCCGCAAUAAUACAUGUUUCUAAUCUUAGCACAUCAUUCAAAAAUAACAUCACACACAUGCAUUCCAAGUUCUCACAAGAAUUUCAUAGACAUUCACACAUUCCCACUGCCACAAACUUACACAAUUUCGGUGCUUGCACAUGAAACAACAAACUUACCUAAGUUUCUUGUAUCCUAUUCCUUUUGAACCUCCAUGAUGAGCUGUCAUUUUAAAAAAGGGAGAAACAAUUGAACGGUACAAAGUAAUUCGUAGUUGAUCAAAAUUUGAUGACAAUUUGGCAAACUACCAUAGUUAUUGUGUUGAUUUUCUAAAAGAAACUAAGUACAAAGAGAUCGUAUUAAACUACUCUUGAUGGACCAAUUUCGACCGUCAAUAUAACUAAAAUAAAGGAGAACUAGCUAUGCUUGCAAUGCAUAUUUGUUUUAGAAUAACUUAUUUCCACUUGUACUUGAAGUCUAUCUGUCUGUAGAUAAAGAGAUACAAUAUGGAGGAGAACCGACAGCAAAACACUCAAACAAUCAAUUAGACACUGUCUAUCAGACUUAUGGACAAAUGGGCCAAAAACUCAAAAUUGACACGAUCAAAAAGUCCCAUAAUUCACAAUUCUAAGUCUAGAAGCGGAAGAGGAGACGGCCGCCGAGUACUGGGCUGGUUGGCCUAGCCCAGGGUUCGGCCGAACCAGUCCCAGCGCCAUUCGAUCCAGGCAUUUGAUCAGACGGUGGGAAUUCACUCCCAAUGGCGGUUGGAGGGUAUUACCAACCUUUCCAACUGCCACAACCAUCAUUCUUCAGCUAUAAAAGGCCCUCACCACCUCCACUACUUCACACACUCAAACAAGCUCAAGAUAUCUCUUCUACACUUUAGUUUUGUAUUCUAGUGUUAAGUGGAUUAGAAUAGAAUAGCUCUCGUAGUCCUCGGAGUCUUCGGAGGAAUUUCGGUAUGGCUUUAGUAGUUUUCCUUCUUUCUUUUGUAAGACUUUUGGAAUUAAUGAAAUACUAUUCUUAAUAUACUUUUGAUACUUUAGUAUAUCUGAGUAACGUCUUUACUUUAUAUCUACAUCGAUACAGUCGUAUAGUUAACCUACCAGAGAGAUGCAGUGGUGUGAGUUUAAUGUUCGAUUACUCGGUUACUCUAUGUCAUCUCGGGGGAUGUAGAGUAGUAUUUAAUAAUGUAUAUGUGGUGUCUAGAUUAUUAAGUAUCAUUAUAUGGGCAUAUAUGCUACGGGUCAGUCGAGGUGGGCCUCUAAAGCAUCUAGGCCCCCGUAGUUAGUUUUGGUAAUUAAUGACAAGCGCAAAUUGUGGACUAACCAUUCUAUCAAGUUAUAUGUUUUGAGUUAGGUUCACAUCGUGUGUGCACAUGGAUGAUUAUCGAUGGAUUAAAAUUUGAUGUCGCAAAGCAAAGGAAAAGAAGACGGUAAACUAGUGUUUUAAUUUCAAAUUGAUCGAGGUGUAGGGCGAUCAAAUUUGCUAGUUUAUUUUUAGCUUCGCUGUACUAUCAAGGGGGGAAAUGACCUAGCAAAGAGAUUAUUUAAAUUGCCACAUUAGGUCAUUGCAUUUAGACUCACAUGCAUUUGCUUUCAUUUAUUGAGCUAGUGUGGCACUUGGUCAUCUUCGAGCCGGGUCAUCGCUUGUUACUCUUGGAGGUUUCCGCCUCUUAGACAGAUUUUGGAGGAGUUGCCCGGUGGCCUCUCUUAGAAGAUUGUGGAGGAGGUCCGGUGCCGGUUGUGAGUGGUUUGGAGUUCACCAUCUUCGGAGUGAAGGAAGAACUAUCCCGAGUGAUCGAGGCUUGGGUAGUCCUCUCCGUAGGCCGGCUCCCGCCUUGCCUACCCCUUGAUGAAGGGGGCGUGCAGUGGCUUCCUGGUUGAGCGGUGGAGUUGGGCUCACCUCAACAGGGAGUAGGAAACCGGCGAGUUUCAAAACCUCGGUGAAAAAUCUCUUGUCUCCUUGUCUCAUUUAUUUGUUGCAUUUACAUUUGUGCAAUUUACAUUCCUAGAGACAUACUUGAGAUCAUAUCACCCUAGGAUUGCUAAACAUUGACUUAGGAGUGUGAUUUACUUUCCUAGAGAUAUAAUUGAGCCACUAUCACCCUAGGUUUGCAAAACAUAACUUAGUUGCUUUGUUAGACUUGACCCUCACCGAGCCUAGCAACUUAGGUUAGUUUUGAUUAGGUGUCAUUUAGUUUUUAAAUCGCCUAUUCACCCCCCCUCUAGUCGACAUCUCGAUCCUACAAGUGGUAUCAAAGCUUGGUCUCUCUUGAUUGGGCUUCACCGCCUAGAGAGAAGAUGUCGAACGAGAUGAACCAUGUAGGGAAGGCUCCCAUGUUCAAUGGAACAAACUACUCCAAUUGGAAAAUUAGAAUGUCUACUCACCUCAAAGCUAUGAGCUUCCAUAUUUGGAGUUUUGCGGAUGUAGGCUUUGCUAUCACCGGCAUGCUCUUGACGGAGAUUGAUCACCGUAACCUCUAACUCAAUGCGUUGUUCAACUCUUUGAGCCAAGAGGAGUUCCAUAGAGUGAGCAACCUUGAGACCGCAUAUGAGAUUUGAAACAAGUUGGCGGAGAUCCAUGAGGGCACAAGUGAGUACAACGAUGCCAAGUUUCAUUUCCUCAAGAUCCAAUGUGAGACAUUCUCCAUGUUGCCUCAUGAGAGUGUGAAUGACAUGUAUGGGAGGCUCAAUGUCAUUGUGAAUGAUCUCAAGGGGCUUGGGGCAACCUACACCGAUCUUGAGGUUGCCCAAAAGCAUAGAAGGAGAGCUUCGCCUCAUCCAGGUCCGAAGAAGAAGGUGAUGAUGAUGCAAGCUCCAAGAAGAAGAAGAUGGCCGUUGUUGCUAGCAAGGAGGCUCCAUCACUCUUCGCUCCACUUUGUCUCAUCGCAAAGGGCUCUUCUAAGGUAACAUCUCUCAGUGAUAGUGUGAGUGAUGAUGAUUGUGAUGAUGUUUCAUAUGAUGAGCUUGUGAGUAUGUUUGAGGAGCUCCAUGCGUAUAGUGAAAAGGAGAUUGUCAAGUUCAACGCCCUAAAAAAGGAUCAUGCUUCUUUGGAGGUCUUGUAUGAGGAGCUAAAGACUUCACAUGAGAGACUCACCAUUUCUCAUGAGAAGCUUAAGUAAGCUCAUCACAACCUCUUUUCCACUACUCAGCAUGGAACUCACAUUGAUGUUGGCAUAUCUUGUGACUUGCUUGAUGAUAGUGCUUCUUGUCAUAUUCCUCAUGUUGCAUCAUCUAGCAUUUCUACCUCUUGUGAUGAUCUUAUUGAUAUACCUAGCUCUAGCUCUAGCUCUUGUGUUUCUAUUUGUGAUACCUCACUUGUUGUUGAGAACGAUGAGCUUAAGGAGCAAGUGGCCAAGCUCAACAAGAGUUUGGAGAGGUGGUUCAAGGGUAAGAACACUCUUGACAAGAUUUUGAGUGAGCAACGGUGCAUCCUUAACAAGGAGAGAGUUGGAUUCAUUCCAAAGAAGGGUAAGAAACCUUUUCACCGUGCCACUCCUUUUUUCAAGAGCAAUGGUAUGUAUUGCUCCAAGUGUCGUGAGGUUGGGCAUUUGGUGAAUGAUUGCCCCGUUGGUAAGCCUUCUGAGACAUGCAUGUUUGAUUCUCAUUAUAUGAUUAGAAAGGCUUAUGAUGGUAGUAUUGCUGCUAGAUAUGUGAGUUCCCCUAUACUUGGUGGUAAAAAGAAUGCCAUUUGGGUGCCCAAAGCUUUGGUUUCUAACCUCCAAGGACCCAAACAAGUUUGGGUACCUAAAAGAGCUUGAUCUUCUUUUGUAGGUGAAUUAUCGCACCGGUGGGAGCCAUUGGGUGCUUGAUAGUGGAUGCACUCAACACAUGACCGGUGAUAGGGCUAUGUUCACCACAUUUGAAGUAGGAGGGACAGAACAAGAGAAAGUGACAUUUGGAGACAGUAGCAAAGGAAAGGUAAUUGGGUUUGGUAAAAUUGCUAUCUCCAAUGAUUUGUUAAUUGAAAAUGUCUCUUUUGUUGAAUCUCUAAGUUUAAAUUUGCUUUCGGUUGUACAAAUUUGUGAUCUUGGCUUGUCAUGUGCUUUCUUCCAGCUAGAGGUUAUUGUUUCUACUCUUCAUGACAAGUCUUGUGUUUUCAAAGGUUUUGGAUAUGGAAAUCUUUAUUUGGUUGAUUUCAACUCUAGUGAAGCAAAUUUGAAAACUUGUUUAGUUGCAAAAACUUCAUUGGGUUGGCUUUAGUAUAGAAGGCUAGCCUAUGUUGGCAUGAAUCAAUUGAGCAAACUUUCAAAACGUGAUCUAGUUGUGGGCUUGAAAGAUGUGAAGUUUGAGAAGGAUAAACUUUGUAGUGCUUGACAAGCCGGUAAACAAGUUGCAUGCUCUCAUCCUUCUAAGAGUAUCAUCUCCACAUCUAGACCAUUGGAGCUCUUGCAUAUGGAUUUGUUUGGCCCAACAACCUAUAAGAGCAUUGGUGGUAAUAGUCAUUGUCUUGUGAUUGUUGAUGGUUAUUCUUGCUAUACUUGGGUGUUCUUUUUGCAUGAUAAGUCUAUUGUUGCCGAGCUUUUCAAAAAGUUUGCAAAAAGGGCCCAAAAUGAAUUUAGUUGCACUCUUGUGAAAAUUAGAAGUGACAAUGGUUCCGAGUAUAAAAAUACCAAUAUCAAGGACUAUUGUGAUGAUCUUGGUAUCAAACAUGAGCUUUCCGCUACCUACUCACCUCAACAAAAUGGUGUAGUGGAGAGGAAAAAUCAUACAUUGGUUGAGAUGGCAAGUACUAUGCUUGAUGAAUAUGGUGUUUCCGAUACCUUUUGGGUGGAAGCCAUAAACACUGCUUGCCAUGCAACCAAUAGGCUUUAUUUGCAUCAUCUCUUGAUAGACUUUCUACGAGCUAAUUGUUGGGAGGAAGCCAAAUAUUGCCUAUUUUUGAGUUUUUGGUUGCAAGUGUUAUAUUUACCGAAAGGGAGUUAGACUAACCAAAUUUAAAAGUCGGUGUGAUGAAGGGUUUCUUCUAGGUUAUGCCUCAAAUAGCAAGGCAUACCGGGUCUACAAUAAGAACAAAGGUAUUGUGGAAGAAACUGUUGAUGUUCAAUUUGAUGAAACUAAUGGUUCCCAAGAGGGGCACGAGAAUUUGGAUGAUGUAGGUGAUGAAGGCUUGAUGAGAGCUAUGAAGAAUAUGUCUAUUGGAGAUGUCAAGCCUAUUGAAGUGGAAGACAAGCCAUCCACCUCCACUCAAGGUGAGCCAUCUACUUCCGCUGCGCCAAGUCAAGCUCAAGUGGAAGUGGAAGAGGAGAAGGCACAAGAUCCACCUAUGCCCCCAAGGAUACACACCGCUCUUUCCAAGAAUCACCCAAUUGACCAAGUUUUGGGUGACAUUAGUAAGGGUGUCCAAACACGAUCUCAUGUUGUUUCGAUUUGUGAGCAUUACUCGUUUGUUUUUUGUUUUGAGCCAAAACAUAUAGAUGAAGCUCUUUAUGAUCCAGAUUGGAUUAAUGCUAUGCAUGAAGAGCUCAGCAACUUUGUAAGAAACAAGGUGUGGACUUUGGUUGAAAGACCUAGAGAUCACAAUGCCAUAGGGACAAAGUGGGUCUUUAGGAGCAAACAAGAUGAGAACGGGUUGGUGGUGAGAAACAAGAUAAGCUUGGUGGCACAAGGUUUCACACAAGUUGAGGCUAUUCGCAUCAUUCUUGCAUUUGCAUCAUGCUUUGAUAUAGAACUAUUUCAAAUAGAUGUGAAAAGUGCUUUUCUAAAUGGUGAAAUUGCCGAACUUGUCUUUGUUGAACAACCUCCCGGUUUUGAAGAUCCUAAAAAUCCUAACCAUGUUUAUAAACUCUCAAAAGCUCUAUAGUUUAAAACAAGCUCAUAGAGCUUGGUAUGAAAGAUUGAGAGAUUUUCUUUUGUCAAAGGAUUUCAAAACUGGAAAAGUUGACACCACACUUUUCACAAAUAUCAUUGGUGAUGACUUCUUUGUUUGUCAAAUUUAUGUUGAUGAUAUCAUAUUCGGUUCUACUAAUGAGGUAUUUUGUAAGGAAUUUGGUGGUGAUAUGAUGUCUAGGGAAUUUGAGAUGUCCAUGAUUGGAAAGUUGAGCUUCUUCCUUGAACUUCAUAUCAAGCAACUCAAGGAUGGGACGUUCAUGAGCCAAACCAAGUACAUCAAGAAUCAACUCAAGAGGUUUGGCUUGGAGGAUGCGAAGCCCAUCAAGACACCAAUGGCAACCAACGAGCAUCGCGACCUUGAUGAGGGAGGUAAACCGAUAGAUUUAAAGCUUUAUCGUUCUAUGAUUGGUAGCUUGCUUUACCUUACCGCAUCUAGGUCGGAUAUCAUGUUUAAUGUUUGCAAGUGUGCACGGUUUCAAGCCGCUCCCAAGGAGUGUCACUUAGUGGCCGUGAAAAGAAUUCUAAGAUAUUUAAAGUAUUCCUCAAUUAUUGGCUUGCGGUACCCAAAAGGUGCUAAGUUUAAGCUUGUUGGCUAUUCCAAUUCGGAUUAUGCCGGUUGUGAUGAGGACACAACUAGCUCGGAUAUAACCAUGACUACCAUAUGUAUUAAUCAACCAAAGGUGCAUAUGUUUUACAUUGGAUUUACUUGUUAUAUAUUUGAACAAACGUUGCUACACAAUGAGUUUCGUGUGUUUUUGUUUGCAGAGUUACUUGCUUGGGCGAAAGAAAAGAGACCGAGCAUAAGAAAUGCAUGGAUGAUUGAAGAAGUUGAUUGGGGACCAAACAAGGACAUUCUCUAAGUCUUCUUUCAUCUCACCACGUCACUUUUAGACCAUAGAAGAUAAGAGAUAAAGUUCCACACGUUUUGGAUUCGGUUUCGGGCCUUCUGACAGCAUCAACUUCAAACGGACCUAGCCACUGAUCUAGAAGGAAUUUAGGGGCCCAUGAGUACUUGUUGGAAAACUUAUGGAGUCUAUAUUCAGAUGGUUUUGGUCCCACGUCAAAAUUCCUACCGAGCUGCCGGAAAUCUGCAAAACAAGCCACGUAUCUCAUCCAGUCUGAAUCUGAUUUUGGUUUUGGGCCUUGUAAUUGUACCAUGGGCUUAGGCCAAGGGGGUGUGCGCCCUAGGGCAACCCUAGGACAUGCCUAAUCAUUUUUAUUCAGUAGCUGUCAUCGUUUGGAGUCGAGUUUUGCUUAGAUUAUUCUGUCAAGAACAGUUUCACUGCUAGAUUGGAUUUUGGAACCCCAAAUUCAUGUGCUUAACCAUUUAUAUGCAAUUUGGUUGCAAUCUAUCUUGUUCUUGCUUGUGUUCUUUAAUUCGCAUGCAGGGAUUAGCCUUCUCGGCAAGGUCAACCGGGUUUCGGCACGGUUAAUAACAAGAGGAGACGUGGUGCUGCGAUUACAGGGCUUAGUAGUGUAUUCGUUCAGAAGCCGGAUCGAGUUGUGUCGCAACUCCGCCCAAAUUGAUUGUUUGUCAAUACUUAUCGGAAGAUCGGGACAUAACUCCCUCAUCAAUUGGUAUCAGAGCGCGGUUGCCCGUUAGGUAAUUUAUCUUCCCAUAACCAGAAAAUUGCCACACAAAAAUAUUUACUCUUUACCAAGACAAUUUGAGCCGUUGCAUUGUUCUAUUAGAUUUUGCUUUGUUGAAUUCUAGAUUGCAUCGUCGUGUCGAGUGUUGGUUUAGUUUUUGAUUUAAUUUUUAGUUUUGAGUAUUGCAUGUGUUCAUCACUUUGGUCUAGGGUUCAUCAGUCAAGUCAGUGAUUUGUAGGUCAUAUUUAGGUCCAUUUUUUCAUCUCGCCGGUUGUUGCCGGGACUUUGAAAAUUUGAAUCGUCUCGUCGUUGGGUUUCCGUUUUUGUGGUUUGGAGGAGUUUUUUUCGAGCGGUUUUGGAGUUGUUAGAUUACUAGGGUUUCUCUGUUGCCGUCUGUUGCCGUGUUCUGUGUCGUUGAGGAGAGAAACAGAUUGACAUAUUGGUUUGUUUUCUAUAGGGGUUGUCUGAUCUGUGUCGUCAAAUGGAAGAAAAUCUCCACAUAUUUUCCAACCUUCCACGGUAGUCCGACUCCAACUCCUCCUUGUUACGGCUGAACCCCACCUCCACCUCACGGAUUUUUUCUGUGCCUCCUCCUCGGUCACCACAUUGUUAGGUAUUUUGGUGGUUGUAGAUUUGAGAUAUUUUUAUAAAAAUGAAACCUAUAUGAUGUGAGCAUUCCAUUUUUGAGGUGAUCCAAUUUUUGUUUUGCACUUUGCGUUUGAGUCCCUGUAAUAUUCAUAUUUACAUUUGAGUCCCUGUUCAAGGUCAGUGGUCAGUUCUUGUUGAAAAAAAAGUAAAAAUAAAGAAAGAAAGAAAGAAAAGGCAGAAAGGUGCAAAGAAAAAAGAAAAGAAAAAGCCGCACCUAAAAAAAAGAAAAAAAGGCAGAAAAGGUGCUUAAAAAAAGCCGCAAGAAGAAAGAAAAAAAAAUCAUUCAUUCUCUUAGUAUGUUUUGAGAGUGCAGAGUUGUGUAUUGAUUCAUAUCUAGUCCUUAGUGUUGUCGGGUGCUUGCUUGAGCUAGAGUUGAGUCUAGGCUAGGCCAGCACAUUGACUAGUACUUUGAAUUAUUAUUCAACUUUGCAUUUUCUUAUUAGCACAAUUGCGUUCCUUUGCUACUAUAUAUUGUGCCUCCCAAGCUCCACAUAUAUACUUCUGGUCAGCACCGCUUUGAUCCUUACAAUCGCCACAUCACGUCCUUCAAGGUGUCAUGAACCAGCCACCGGUUGUACCGUCCUUAACAUUGCUGGUAAGACACUUGUAAGAGCUUGGUUAAACGUUUCCAUUUGCUAGCCUCCACUACAAUCCAUGUUCUGUAGUUAAUAGGAACAAUUUUGUUCUGUUGUUCUCUUUUUUCUACUAACAAUGGCAAGUUACAUUUCUUAUGGACAUGAGAUAAAGUUGGAUGGGAGACAAACCAUAGCUGCUACAUCACCUUCCACAGAUGCAAGUGAUUAAAGUACAUUGGUGCAACAAGUGCUAAGUAUUCAAAUGGAGAAAGCGGAGCAAUGGCAGUACCACGAAUCAUUGGAACAAAGGUUUGUGGUUAAGGAUAGAGCAUGUCGUACUAUAAUCGAUAGUGAGAGUUGCAAUAACUUUGUGAGUUUAGAUUUGGUUGAGAAACUUGAGUUGCCUACACAACCGCAUCCUCAUCCAUAUUACAUCAAAUGGUUCAACUCUUGUGGUAAGUUAAUGGUAAAUAGAAUUGUGAGAAUAAACUUUUCGAUUGGAAAUUACCAUGAUACUGCCAAUUUUGAUCUUGUCCCUAUACAAGCAUGUUCUUUGUUGUUUGGUCAAUCAUGGGUAUAUGAUAAUAAUGGUUUACAUAAUUUUGUUGCUAAUACAUACACAUUUAGACAUAAUGGUCAAAAAAUGAAAUUGGAACCAAUGAUUUUUUCUAAAAUUUUCGAAGAUAAUCUGGAAAGGAUGAAGAAUGGAAUCGAAGAAAUUUUCAAAGAUAGUAUUGAAAGGACGAAGAAUAGAAUCGAUGAGAUUUCCAGAGAUACCAGAAAUAAUACUAAUAUUGUGAUGCCUUCAACUAUGUCUGAGUUAUUACAAAAUGAACGUAAUGUUGUGCCUAUUGUUUUGGAUACUAAUAUUUUGCAGGCAUGUGAGAAUAACCUAGGAAAUGAGAAAGAGAAGAAAGACGAAGAGGAAAAAGACCUAUCUAUAGCUCCAUGCAUGCUUGAAGAAUGUUCAAUUGACCAAGUGCCUAUAAUUUCUGAAGAUGAGAAAAAAAGUAAUGAUAAUGGUGCUACAGCUACUCAAGGUAUGCAUAUUUAUGAGGUGCCAACUAUGUCCACUACUUAUGCUACAUUAGAGCAACCCAUGAUGGAAACAAUUGCUGAAAUACCUUUGUCACAAAACAAUUUGUUUGAUGUUUCUUGUGAUAAAAAAGAGUUGUGCGAUGCUUCACUUAUAUCCGUGGCACAACUAGUGAAUGAACAUGAUAGUUCUAUACUAGAGCCACCAUGUGUUGAGUUUAAACAUGUUAUUCACAUUGAUAGCGAGAAUGAAGAGCUUAAAUUGCUAUCUUCUUUAAAUACUUGGGGUUAUAUUCAAUUUGAUGAUUUUUGUCCACUCAACUGUUUAGAGAAGAAAUUAUUUGCUAGAUUUGAAUUGCCAUGCCCUUCUGAUGUGAUUUUUCAUGUUAUUGGCAAUUAUGAUAGUAAAGAAGAAUAUAAUGUGCAUCGAGUAUUGUAACAUACCCGAAAUUUCAGGACUUCAAAUUUCUUGUCAAAAUAGUUAGAGGUUAACUUCUCCAAUUUUGAGAGCCAAAAAUUUCCGUUUUAAUUUAGGUGAUGACCAACUUAAACCAUUGCAUGAUUAAAAUUUGAGAACAAAAUAAAUCCUUUUCAUUCCCAACAUUAGACUAGAAUUGUCAUCAAGCAUUUGAGCAUACAUGUGCAUAAUGCAUGCCUAGACUUGAGUCCAUUGUGCAUUUAGUUUUUGGUCUCGCUUUUCAUAAUAGGUCUUAUGAGCAUAAACUAAGGGUUAAAAUUACUAAACAAAACUAUAGUUAAUCUUGGGUGAUAACAUAUGGACUUAAUAUUAAAUCCUAAUAUCAUUUUCUCAGCCCAAAAGAAGUUUAAUGUAAUCCCUAAAAUAAUAUUAGGUGCAAUUAUGAAGUAGGAACACAUAUAAAAAGAAAAGUUAUUCUAAUUCUUUAAAAAAAUAUGUGCAAAAUGAAAUCAUGGAAAAAUUUAUGUAAACUAUGUUUAGCAUAAGCAAUUCACUAUAAUAUUGGUACAAGUUAAUAACUAAGUUUAAUACCACAAAUUAAUCAGUCAAAGCAGAAAACUAAAAGAAAUCAAAUUAAAUUUUAAUCGGCUAAAGCCAUACUUCAUCCAAAAGUACAUUUAACUGCACAUAAGUGAACAUGGAAAAUAAAUUAUUCAAAUACUAGAUUAUUUAUCAUGCCUAAAUAUAAUUUUUCUAGAAUUUUCCUCCUUUGUUUAGGCUUCCUAAAAAUUCAAUCUACCUUUCUAAUAGCCCAUCUUUGUUUAAUUUCUGUGAGCAUUCUACCCAUUAUUUUUGAGUGCAACCAAAGAAAAUGGAAUCUAGGUGUAAUCAUUUACCUCCAGUAAAAUCUACACUAAUUAAUUUGGUCCACACAUUAAGUUAUGAAGCUACAAAGUUAGGGGAGAGAAAAUAAUCUAAAAAUUCGUCUAAAACCGUGUUCACCCAGAAUCUUACCCACCUCUCUCUUCCACCUAGAGCACUUCGUCCUUGGCCCACUUGGCAGCCUCUCCAGCUCGCCCUUUCUCUGUGCCUCACCAAGAACACACAGAGGGAGAGAUAGAGCGAGCCGACGCAUGGCCACAACGUGUCGACGACCUCGGGCUUUCCUUUUCUCGCUCUCUUCUCCACCAGUCUGAGUCGCCAUUCCUUACUCAUCACUCAGAGCCGAAGAAGCCGAGGGGAGCAGGUCCUCUGCCUCUCCAUCACCAGCGACCUCACCACCGGCCAUGGAGGUGACGACCAUCGCCAUCUCCGUUUGAGUCAAGGUCACCUCUGUCUCUUUCACGUUCCCAUCUCUCCACACAAUGCCGAACCACUUCUCUGUUGACCACCUCCCGUUUUGUGCAUCACAGCCACCGGAACGUGACCACGCCAACGACGUCCCGGAGCACGCACCGGAGCGCCGCCGCUUCAAUCAUCGUCGUUGUCCAACCACCUUCGUCCACCUCGGAGCAAGCCGCUGCGCCAUCGUCAUCGCCUCAACAUGCUUUUCAAGACGCCUCAAGAACCCCAGCCGGAGAUAUCAAGAACACAGAGAGCGCACUCUUUCUUCCUCCCCGUCGCCAUCGCCAUUGUCAAUUCCUUCCUCUCCGGUGAGCUAUAGUCCGAUUCUUCGUGCACACACCAUCCUUGAGACCUCACGAACCUCUUGGACACGCAUGCAUGGCAGGACCUUGAGUUAUUCGAGCCGUCGCCGUUCACUCGAGGAGGAGCACCGUCGCCGAGCCGUUCCGCAAGCCGCCGCUGCCGUCAAGACCUUGACAACCCUAGCUUGACCCACAGUGAGCAUCCUGAAGGCUAGAAGACCACAUGCAUGCAUCCUUUUCGUUCGGAAUCGACUUCCAUGCACACAUGCACUUUCACCCCGAGAACCACCGCCGCUCACACCACUGUCACGAUUGUUUCCGACCACCUCUGACCUUGAGAUAACUAUGGGUAGAUGCGCAAGGAGCUUAGGAAUGUUUUCUCUUUUCGUCGCCCCGCGAGAACGGCCGCCGUUCAUCGUCAGUGCCGGCGAGCAGCUCGCCAAGUCGCCGCUAUUCUGCUGCUGCCCUUGCCCUCUUGCUGAGACACUGACCAGCGGAGCCCACAUCAUUAGGCGCUGAGGACUCUUCUUAGAGAGAGUUUAAAACUUGCAAGGUCUAAAUUAAUUGUAAAAUAUGUUAGAAUGACAUGUGGAACCAAGGACUAAUUAGUAAUGAAUUAAAAGAAUCUGAGGACUCUUAAUGAAUUUGGUUCAUCACAUACUUUGGACUGCGAGUUGAUUCCUAAAAACCUCAAGGACCUUUUUGCAUAUUGGUCCCUCACUGACACGUGGACCCCAUACUUUAAAAUCUUGAGAAUAAUUAAGAAAAUGCCCAAACAAAUAUAUGUUUAGCAGAAAAAUGCACAAAGUUGUAAAAUCCAUAUAAAAUCAAAUAUAGCUCAUUUUGAAGUGAUUCCAGUUUCUGUAGAUUCAAGAAGUUAUGAACUUUAUUCCAGGAAUAUAAAACUUGACACCCACUGUACAAACUUUGCCUCUAAAAUUUAUCUAAGAUAAGUCAUACAUAAAGCAUGUACAAACUUAUAAAAUACAAAGAAAAUUCAUUUCAACUCAUUUUGAAACAAAAUCAAAUUCUACAGAUUCAUCAUCAUGCACUCUGAUUAAGUGAAAUAAAAGUAAUUACUUACUUUCCAUCAAAUGCCUCUAAAACUAUUAUCUCUAGAAUGAUUAGUUUAGAUAAGCUAAACUUUAGAAAUUCAUGUAGAACCCAAUUUAGCUUCAAUUUGAGUAAACUUUAGUUCUGUAGGAUCAUCAAAACAUGUAUUUCCAUGUUAUGAAAUAAGAUUAUAUAUUUACUGUGUAGUUAAAGUCUCUAAAUAUUCAUAUAAGGAUUUACUAACAUAGAGUAGUCUUUAAUUUGUAAAACUUGUAGAAAAUUCAUUUUUUUAGUCCAAAUGAAAUGAACAAAGUUUCUAUAGAACCUGCAAAUAGUUAGCUUCAACAUAGUAAAAUAAAAUUUGGCACAUUUUGUAGAGAACAUAGAUCAAAACCUUAACUUAGUGAAAUAAGAAUUUAAACACAUAGUGUUGUUUAAGUAAUACAUAAACAUGUAUAAGUAUAUAUACACUUUAGGUCUAAUUAAACCUAAAUAAAAACUUGAUUGACCAGUGAAGCCAUAGUUCCAUCCUCAUCCACUAAAACUUAGAAGAACUUAGCUCAUAUAACAAUUUCUAGGUUAAUAUAAUAUAUUGCUAGUUUAGAUUAGAGCAUCUCGUUUAUAAAAUAUGAACCAUAGUAGUAAAGACCAUAAACAUGUGAACUAAAAAUGUUCAUUUUUAGUUAACCAAAUUAUUCCUUUUAUCUGUAGCAUAUUCUGAAUCUACAACUUGAGAGUCAUGCACAUAUAAAACACUAUAUGCCUAGAAUACGUUGUAACUUGUAAAAUCUAUAAGAAAAUCAUUAUAACUCCAAAAAUUGUGAAACCAAAUGUGUUAGUCUUAGAAAACACAUCUCCACAGCCCUGUGAAGUCUAAUCUAAUAAAAAUCACUUUACAAAAGUAUUUUAUAACACUACCUAAGACUAUAUGACUAUAAACCUAUAAAACUUCUAAAAUUCAUAACUCCCUAAUGGAAUAAGAUAAAAUAAAAAUUAUUUCACCUAAAUUUAUUUUAGACCAGUACCUAAUCACUGUGCAUAAAUCAUGCAUUUUAGAGCAUUUUGGAUUUUCAGCUCUUUCGGUGUUUAAUUGCACGUGUCAUUUAUCUAGAUAAUUGCAUAACCGGUGAAGGAGUGGAUUAGGUGCUAACAUUUCUCUGAUCAAGGCAAGUUUUCUCCUCCCAUCCUUUGAACACAUUGAAUCCCAUGAUUUGAGGAAUGAAAAUAUUUGUUCGCAAAGUUGCAUGUCAACUUAGAUUAUAUCGGUAUUUAAAAUUGGGUUAAGGUAGUUAUGACCUAUUUGUUGCAUACCCCACCUUGAAUAAUUGAUCCUCAUGUUGUUUGAACCCCUAGAAAUGGUUAGAGUAUACUCUUUGUGCUCAAAUGGAUUUUGAUACAUGAACCUUUGCUGGAAUAAAAUGAAUAUGAUGGGUAUUUGCGAACUAAAAUGUGUAAAAUGUGAUUUUAUACUUGGGCGGCAAGUGGUGUGCAUAUGGUGUUAGUUGCAUACCGAUAGGGGGAGUGUUUGCCCAAGUACAUAAGGACCGAACUUGUGUCACCCAUUUAAAGUUAUUCGUACAUCCACAUGUGCUAGUAUGGGAUAGCCUAAGCUGAGUAAUCUGUUUAGGACUAGCCUUGCAUUCUGGUAGGCCGGUGUGUAUGAGUUCGUAUAAUUCAGAGGAGCUUUCUAAUUACCCCGACGUGGUGCUUUAGGUGACUAAGCGUGUACAAUACAACAGUAUUGUGCCACGUGGUGGGUUCCCGUCGUGUCUGCCACCACGGCGUUAAGUUUAAGGCGUGGGCCCGCCACUUAACGGUUCUAGGUAUAUUCCAAGUAUGCCUAGGAUUGAGGAACACGUAUCGUGCUGGUGCAAGGCUAGGCUCUAAGUAGUGUAAAGGCUUCGUUAUGACCUCUAGAUCACAUUCAAUAUGAAGAGUGUGGUGGAGUCUUGCAAACUCAAAACAAACUAGAGAGUUCUAUCAUGUGGGUAAAGCUGUACAAACUCUGCAGAGUUCUUUAAACUAAUCGAUUAGCCGUGCUCACGGUCAUGAGUGCUUUGGUGAUGUGUCAUGAGUAUAGAUUUUAUGUUUUAAAAUGUGAUCAUGUGACAUUGAUUUGAAAUUGAUAAAUGUGUUGAGUUGUGUGUGUGAGGUGAUAUAUUAUGACUUGUUGUCAAAGGAUGACAACAAGAGAUUGAUUAUGAUGGAAUUAUGAUGAACUUAAUAUUGAAACUUAAAAUUUGUUUUGUUAAUUGAAGCAUCAACUCCUUUACAAAAGAAUUGCGAAACAACACUUGCUUUAUGCUGAAAAUUGAACUACAUAUUGCCUUCCUUUGAAUAUAUGCCUUACAUCUAGUAUGGUAGGAGUGACUUAUGCUUGCCAGUACAUUAACUUGUUUAAUGUACUUACUCUCUUGCUGUUGAUAUAACCUUUUGUUUGCAGGUUUAGUCUUAAUCUUUGAGUGAUGCGGGUUCCGAUUGUUUCUUCUAGGAUGAGAACUUAAAUGGGGUAAACCCCUAGUCGGUGUGCUUGUGAUUGGGUAGUCAAGCUUCCGCUGUUCUCUAAUAAGUCUAUUUGGUCGGUCGGCCUAUGUAAUUAUUAAGUUGUUGUAAGUCUUAAGUUUCUUUCAUCUUAGUUGUGUUCGCUAUGUAUAAAUAUGCUUAAGAUGAAAGUGUGGAUCUAGUGCACAUCCUGGGAACUAGAUUCAAAUGAGUAUGAGUUAGGAACAUUUGAGAGGUUGUAGAUCUUUAGCCAUUUUUGUCAAGUCUCCUGAAUGUGUAACACAUCUGGUCGCCGCCUUCGAGUGGUUUGACGGGCACAUCUCAGGCUGAAGUUGACUAGCAGGCUAAGGGCCCAGCAAUGGCUUCAAUAUUCCUCUCUCGAGGCGUCGGAUGUUUUAUUAUGCUUGUUUGAUGACUUGAAUUAUUCACUUCAUCUCUCAAGUAUAAUGGAAGGUCAGGAGAGCCUACCACAAGUAUAUAUUUGUUCAAAUAUGACUAUGCAUCAUUUUCAUGAUGAAAUGUAUUGUCUAGAGGACCUCAUGUGUAUAUGUAAUUCUCUAUCAAGUUUCUCUAGUCGUUUAAAUGAGUUACAGGUUAGUUUGCAAGAAGGGGAGUGUUAUAGAUUUUCGACUAAAGAGAUUUCAGGAUCCAACCAUAUGGCUAUCAAGAAAUAUUCCUUACCGGAUGUUGUGAUAGAAAAAGAUAAGUUCAAAAUGCUCCAUAACAAGGUGAAACCGAGGACGGUUUCCAAUCAAGAAGGGGAGGAUGAUGAGGACACAACUAUCUCGGGUAUAACCAUGACUACCUUAUGUAUUAAUCAACCAAAGGUGCAUAUAUUCUACAUUGGAUUUACUUGCUAUAUAUUGAACAAACGUUGCUACACAAUGAGUUUCGUGUGUUUUUGUUUACAGAGUUAAUUGCUUGGACAAAAGAAAAGAGACCGAGCGUAAGGAAUACAUGGAUGAUUGAAGAAGUUGAUUGGGGACCAAACUAAGACCUUCUCUAAGUCUUCUUUCAUCUCACCACGUCACUUUUUGACCAUAGAAGAUAAGAGAUAAAAUUCUAUACGUUUUGGAUUCGGUUUCGGGCCUUCUGAUAGCAUCAACUUCAAACGGACCUAGCCGCUGAUCUAGAAGGAAUUUAGGGGCCCAAUAGUACUUGUUGGAAAGCUUAUGGAGUCUACUUUCAGAUGGUUUUGGUUCCACGUCAAAAUUCCUACCGAGCUUCCGGGAAUCUGCAAAACAAGCCACAUAUGUCAUCCAGUCCGAACUGAUUUUGGUUUUGGGCCUUGUAAUUGUGUCGUGAGCUUAGCCCAAGGGGGUGUGCGCCCUAGGGCAACCCUAGGACGUGCCUAAUCAUUUUUAUUCAAUAGCCGUCAUCGUUUAGAGUCGGGUUUUGCUUAGAUUAUUCUGUCAAGAAUAAUUUCGCCGCUAGAUCGGAUUGUGAAACACCAAAUUCAAGUGAUUAUUUAUUCAUAUGCAAUUUGAUUGCAAUCUAUCUUGUUCUUACUUGUGUUCUUUGAUUCGCAUGCAGGGAUUAGCCUUCUCGGUGAGGUCAACCGGGUUUCGGCAUGGUUGAUAACCAGAGGAGACAUGUUUGGUGCUGCGUUGCGGGGCUCAGUAGCGUGUUCGUUGUUUGGAGAGAAAAAUUAACUUUAAUCUCCCCGCCCAGGGAAGUAAAAUAAAAUAAGAUGUGCGGGCGUGCCAGUGUACUAAGUACACAAAAUCAAAUAGACGAAGGAAAAUAUAUUUUAUUAUAAUUCUCAAGGAAUUACAAAAAUACAAAAUCCUUAGUCAAAUGCGCUCCACAGCUCGUCGCCGAGGUGUAUCUGACUUGACGAUUGUGUUCUCCUGGUUCCCGGGGUCUCGGAAAACACCCGGUUAAUUACUCUCGCGGGUUAGACCGCAAGACACCUCCGAUUAAGCUGCGUUGGUCGUUGUCAUCGGUCUUCCCUUUACGUUCACCCAUGCGUGUUGUGAUGGUGGUGAUGGUGUAGAUGUGUGUGGGCGCCGACAGCGGUCCACGGCCGCGUCGCCGUGUUGUGCAUGCAUGACGAUCUGAACAGAAAGAGCAGGAAAACAAAAGAAAACUAAUAAGCUGUACCCAUGGCAAUGGCUGGGUACGUGCUCCAGCGACCGUCUUCUCCUCCGCGCGCCUCCUCGCCGGACGCCGAGGCACUGCGGCCAACGUCACCGACCGCCGAGCGCCCGUGUUGUCGCUGGACGCCGAGAUUCUCCGGCCAAAAUGGUGUGUGUGUCUCUCUCUGUCACUUUCGUAUGCGUGUGUGUUCUGUCUGUGUGUGUUCCUCCGUCUCUGUGUGUUCCUCCGUGUGUGAAAUGGCAUGGCCUUUUAUAGUGAAGAAAGGCAGUUCCAGCCAGUACGUGCAUGGCUCGAUCAGUGCAUGCGUGAUCAGCCAAUUGCCUAAUUUAGCGAUUAGCAUUUCUUUCCAUAUGUUGUGUGAUUCUUCCAAUUAACAGGCAUCCUUAUUCAGCAUGAUUCCAUCCGUGUUACGCCGACCGAUCUCCUUUCCAAGUUGGAAUGAUACAUAGGGAUCAUUUUCCUCGUAUUCUCGUAUAUACGCGCAAUCUGUACAUGGUGAGGCAUCGAUAAGAAAUCAACUGCCGGCAAAUGAUUUGAUUAUUGCCCUCUAAUGAUAUGCUACAGUGGCAUGCUUCCAAAAUAAAUCCACCGUCGUUUCUUCUUUCCAUCAGUGAUAUCGCUUAGCCGUGCUGCCACUUAUUCAACCAACCAUCUAUUCCAGGCAUAUAUAUAUUUAUAUAUUCUAUCCCGGCUGGAAUACAUAAUAUAUAUAUAUAUAUAUAUAUAUAUAUAUAUAGACACACACGUGAGUAUAUUCGCGCCCGUACAUUAAUUGGGCAGCACUGCACGUGUCAUAUAAUAUUCUCAUGUACACCAGAUUGUAUCAUUAAUGAUAAUUAAUUAAUCACUUAUUUUUACUAUUGUACUGUUAUUCCCGGAAUUAAUAUUUUAACGCACCCCAUUUCUUAUAAAAUAAAAAAAAGGUGUACAAAAUAUCAUCGAACAAAAUGCCCCCUCACCAAGUUAAAUUCGAGCGUGGAGCGACUCGGAAUUAACUUGGUGACUGAUGAACCUUUCUAUUUCCCCUAUCGAUUCUAGCAUGAUCCUUUCCCUCGUACAGAUGUUUUCCAUGUAUGUUUUAAUCUGAAAACAACGAUCUGGCUGUGGAAGUAUGAAUGAUGUUGCCAAAUUAACUCACGUCACUUUCCUUUAGCCAAAUACUCCCAAAUAUAAGCUUCGGUUAAGCACCCUAUAAAUACCACGUACCAUCAGCGACCUGAUCAAGCAAUAUUGUUCAAUCUCGGUAGGGAAGCCACAAGUUUGUACUUCAUCUUCGUGUACCUCUUUUAAUUCUCACUGACCUUUCUGUUCGCGUGAUUUUUUUUACUCUUUGCUUCUCAUCAUAUAUAUAUUUGCUUUAGCAGCUCCAUUCAUGGCUCGUGAUGCUGGCAAGCAUGCUUCUGGUGGCGUUGAGAAGGAACGGACGCCAGCAGCCGGCUCGUCUCGAGGCCCUCGAUCAGCCGAGGCCACUAUCGGUUGGAAUUCAUGACGCGGGAAUUCCUCGCCGUCCAAGGUCUGCGCCUGAUGGUGGUGACUUCGGCGCUCGGCCACAACAUCACUGUUUGCGGAUGGCAUGAGGCACUUUGACCAAAUCUGCUGAAACCUGUGACGAAGACUAUGGAGCAAGAACGGCGCGAGGCGAGGGGUCGUGCGAGUACCUUGUCAAGCCAGAGGCGUCCCAGGCGAAGGGUGCAAGGCGAAGAGUAUCUGCUGAAGGAAGACGACUUCGCCAUGGCAAGUUCGCCCCCGCGAGGGCCGAAGAAGCCUUUCCGGCCCAUCAAGCCUAGGGGCUAUAGGGCCGGCGGUCGCCCGACGGCCCAUCAGGGGCCUAUGAACCUCCAUAACAUUAUGUACCCCUGUAAAUGUCCCUUUCCUAAGGGUAACCAUGUAAAUUCCCCUGUAUAACCUAACCUAGUAGUAAGAACCUAUAAUGGGGGUAUAAAUAGUCCCCUAGGGCAAUGUAAUAAGGGGAUCCCGAAGUAAAAAAUUCUAAAAUUAAUACACUUCGUUUCUUUCCAACCACUGUUGAGUAACCACGUCUUUCAACGUAUGCGGUUGUCGUUUCGACAACAAUCACCUUGCCGGUGGGUCGCAAUCUACGCAACCCGCCUUUCGAGCUCAUGAGCGCGCGGAUAAAUGAGCCACUGCACGACCCUCCUCGUCUCGCCCUCGGAGGUCAGCACAAGACUCGCCAUCUCCAGUGCGUCGUCGGGACAUGAAGAGAGAUCGCUCUCCAACACUUGCCAAGGUCAGCUCUUCCAAGAAACCUCCUGUUACCCCGGCGAGCAGCAGCAGUGAGUCUCCCCCUAUCGUAUCGAGCGAUUCCUCAUAUGAUACUUUGUCGGAUGAUGCAGUCAAGAUACUUGGCAACACUCCUUCUGCGGAGCAUGUGAGCCCCUUUAUUACACUCUUUGUAAAUACAUUUAUAUAUUUUGUCCCAUCUCUUUCCGCUUGUUUAACAUACCCUCCUGAUUGUAGACGUCUUAAAUAUCCCCUCUUUUUUAUUUACUGAUGAGAUGUUACUUUAAGGUUCCCACCAUACCGGACAAUAACGUUGUCUCGUCAAACCGCAAUACACCCAUCCCCCGGGUUUCAAAGGAGUCGCACAAAAAAGCUGGCGUUGCUAGGAGUGCGCAGCCUAAGACGGUCCAAGCUCAACCCCUACGUGUGGACGCAGGGAAGGCAAGAAAAGAAGAGAAACGUCCAGUGGUGUACACACUUGAGGAGCCAGAGAAGGAUGAAAAUAACAACUCAUCGUGGUACAGCAUUUUCUUUUUACUAUGGUUUGCCCCGUACUUCAGGUAACCUUGCUGGUGAUAAGGCCCAGGUUGACCUGAUGCAAGACCAUGGCAAGAGACUUGAGGCGGCAUUGACCAAGCAGAUUGCUGAGCUUCACUCUGCGGAACCAAGGCUUCUCCUAAUGUCAGUUCGGUCCAUUGAUGACGAGCCCCCAAGACUGAAUCUGCCAUCUGAUGGUUUCAUUAUGGUCCGGCAUGCAGCGGCAGUGCAUCGUGAUGUGUAUGAUUUGCAGAAGCUCUUGAAACAGGAACCCCUCGACAAUCGUAUGAUUGUUGAUGCCAUAGGGGUGAUUACUUUGUCGUGGAAGGAGCACUAUGUGGAGCCGCGCCCCGAAGAUUUGGUGAAGCUAAUGUCUGACCUAGAGGAUUUGGUGGGAUUUUUGAGUGGCAACUCAGGUCCACCUUCUUUUGAAGAAUUGAUGGUCACUUCAAAUGACAGUGAAGCCACCUCUUUGUUAUAGAGGUAUGAGAGCAUGUGCAUUGACGCUUCCCGCGACUUGAAGAUAUUUGCCGAGGACAAGGUUAAGAUGCUGACCUUCGGAAAACAUCUUGAUGCCUGUCAUGCUGACUGGCAAACCAAGGCAGAAUACUAUGAGAAUAAGGCCAAAGAAGCGAGAGCUGCCUCUGCAGAAUAUCAUCAGUUAAUGAAGUGUAACGAGGAGAUGAUUAUCAAUCACCCUGCCGCCGUGGACUCUUAGUCCUAAAGGUGGCCGAACUGAAAAACAAGUGUGCCAAUGCAAAGACCAAUGUUGAAGCCGCAAAAAAGCAGAAGGAGGCUGGAGCGUCUGCCCCACCGACCAUCCUUCGCAUCUUGUCCUAUCCGUGCAACCCAUAUUUUGGUCUUCCAGCACCUCCCCAGUAAUAGUUCAAUUGAGUCGUCUUACAGUUAUCCGAGUUAUUCCCUAAGAGUCAUAUCAAUAUCAGUUAGUCUUUACUCUUUAUAUAUAUUUAUAGAAUGGAAGUUGUGUCCUUAGCUGUGGUUCCAUGUCUUUGUCAUCUUAUUGUAAUAGUCUGGGUAUCCUUAGAUGCGCCCAAA